GUCCUAAUACAAUAAUGCACAAAGGUUUUUUCUGUGUACAUAUGUUACACAAUGUCCAAAUUUUAAAUAACAUAUUCAUGGGACAAUAAAUAAAACAAGAAAAAAACGUUAAAUCUACUUAGAUAUAGAAUAAGAUGGAUGUGGCUCAAUGACUAAAAUCGGACUAUAGUCAAAUUAAAUUGAAAUAAUUUGCAGUCACGGGUUUGAACAUGAGGUAUGGAGAAGCCUCAAUAAGUUCGAUUUGCCAUUUCAAGAGAUGCAUAUACACAAUCCAAUCUCCAUUUCCUUUAGGGCUUAGCAUUGGCAUCACAUAUCCCGCUUUUCCGGCCCAUGGAAAAUGGUAAGCCCAGAACGCUGAUUCACCCCAUUCGAAAUUAAUCUUUUUCACAGGUAAAUGUUGCCCCGAUGACACUACCACCGCGGGUCCAUCACCAUUCAUUGCAUAUAUUUUUGCCAUGGAUGGUUCAGGACGAUGAGCCUCAACCCAGUCUAUCAAUCCAAGAAAAUGCUCUUGUAUUUUCGCGAUAUCAACAAAUUCAUGGAUUACAUUUGCCACCCAAUUAGCGAUUUUUCUUUUACCUCCUCAACUUUUUUCUCUCCAAAUGGGAUGGAGAGAACAUUACCAAAAUACCCUUUUAGCGACUUAUCCACAUUAUUUAUGAUCUCGACCAUCGACCACAAUACCAAACCUAAAAUUGUUGAAACCCAAGUUUCUUUAUUAAUUCCACAUGCAAUAGUUAUCCACAGGAAAGCGCUGAAUGAUUCAAGUUUAGACCUCUGGGACGUGCCUUUUUGGUCAUCAUGAUAAUUGGCUAGUGACUGAAGGUGCUCAAUUUUGUCACCGGUGACAUAGUAAAUUCUACUAAUGACUUGAUCAUUAGGGUUAAGGAUUUCGGAUUUCAUAGAAGGUAGGGUUGAUAGUGGUACAUAUAAGUCAUCGAUCGAGUCAUCAUAGUAACCAGGAUGUCGAGGAAAAAGGGAUGAUCGUCAAAACGAUGGGAGCUGAGAGAGUGGCUUGGAUUGAGCUAAUUCAAACCAUGACACAAGAAACAAGUUGGCUGAGUAUGCAUUAGCAACUCUAUGAUCAAAUGUGCAACCCACAAUUAUUCCUCCAUCUUUGGUUGUAUACAAGUAGGUUAUGGGGUUGUCUAUUUUUAUAUUGCUCUAGCAGAAGAGUUAUACCUCCUUAAUCUUAAUUUAUGUGUCCUAUAUAUUUCUAUUUUAGUCUGUUUAAAAAAUAUAUCGUCUUUUAUAUAUUUAAUAUCACAAAUUUGAAAAACUUAAUUUGAUUUUUUUAAACUUUGUUAUUAUUUUCUCAAACAAUUAAGACAGAGUAUUUUUUGUUGAAAGCAUGAUUAGUCAAGCAAAUAAAUAACCGAACACAUAAAUAAGUCCUUUAAUUUGGCUUUUUUUUACAUUUAAGUACUUUCCAUCUUUGGUUGUAUACAAGUAGACGAUACUUUAACUUUUAUAAAAUUGAGCAAGUAGACAUGUGAGUCCUAUGUGGCAUAAUAUGCACACGACACCAUGUAGGACGAAAAAUUGUCAUGUAUGAUGCCAAAUAGGACACGUGUCUAUUCGUUUAGCUUUAUACAAGUUUAAGUGUCUAUUUAUGCAUAUCCAAAUUAAAGGACAUAUUUAUAUAUUAUGCUAAUAAAAUAUGUUUAAUAUAUACUCCUUUCGCACAUUUUUAUUUGUCCUCUACUUAAAAACAAAAAUUACUUUUACUUGUCACUUUUAACAUAUAAAAUACCUUAUUUUCUUCCUAUUUUACUCUCAACAUCAAAUCAUAUCUCAUACGGAUGACUCACCCAAUUAAUAUGGAUUAAUGUUGAUUAUUGUUUAUUAGGGUAUACAAAGUCCAAACUGGACAAGUGAAAUUAACCGCAACUUAGCUUAUGUAAUUCGAUGAUAAAGAUAGUCACACACUUUAAGUGGUAUUAAAGUUGAUAGAAGUAUUAUACGAAUUCGAAUCACAGCAUCACUAUUAUAAUUUUUUUUGUGUUUGCCUCUUGAAGAGAAUCAAAACCCUUAUAUGAAGUGGUAAGUUCAUGAUUUGACGUUUAUGGAUGUAAGAUUUUAGUAGUUUGAAGUAACUAUAUUCUAACUUAAUAAUUUAUACACUAAACCCAUCUUUCGAGGCAAAUACAAGAUUUAAAUUAAACUAGACAGUUACUUAGUUUUGUCAAAUCCAUAACCCGAAUCGUACAUCUACCUUUACGCUUGUCAAGGGAGUUUUAAAAUCACAUUGGUCACACACCUCAACGAUUAAUAAUAUUUUCAAAUCAUGUUUCGAAAAAGUCUCGGAUAUAUCAUAAAUAACUACCCUCUUCAGCACCUCACACAAAUAGAAUUAAGGUCUGCGUAUUACACCUUAUUUUUUUCAUAUAAGAUUAAAUUGAUUACACAUUGUUAUCAUUGUAUUUAUAUGUUGGGAUAUUCACUAAGUCACAUGCAUGGAAUAAAUAGGGAGAAAUUGUUUACACAUAAUUAUUAAUACCUGAAUAGCAAGAACACCAUGCUUCUUUUUAGGAACAAAUUUUCCCUCAAUGCUUUCAUCUGGAUUAUAAAAAUUAAUCUCUUUAAGCUCAACAUCACCAAAAGCUUCAAUAAAAGAAACACCACCAUUAUUGCAAAGAAUCUCCGGUUCUCCGGCUGAAUUUUCAACUAUAUCUCCAGAAAAUGCAUAGUAAGCAACUAAUGUUUCAGCCAAAGAUGUUUUGAGUAUUUUAACGAUUGAGUUAAAUUCUAAAUUUAUAUUAAUUUUCUCCGAAACAAUAAUGGGAUUUAGAUAUCAGAACAUAACUCCGACCUCCAAUGGAGGUAAGAGCAAACCAAGAUUAGAUAAUGGUAGCCAAUGUUCUUGCAUUGGCAACACUGCUGCCACUACUUCACUCUUGUUCACUUUCACAUUGAAGUUUUUCUUUGAAUUCAUCUCUUUUGGGAGGGGUGUGUGUGUGGAGAAAAUAAGAAGUGUAAAAGGUUAUCGAUAUAUUAGAGUGAUGGAUUGAUGGAUGAGAUAGUUGUAUUUAUAGAGUAAAAGAAUUUUUAUAUAAUCAAAUAAAAUUUUUAGAUGAUUAUAAGUAACCAAUCAUUAAAAAAAAAUUAAAGUUUGUAUUAUGAAUUUUAAAUAGAAAAUAUCUUUUUAAAGGCAAUCGAUAGGAGAGAGGUAAUAAAAAGAGAAUACUAUAUUACUCAAAAUGAAAAAUAGGAAUCUCACCAAAUGAGUUACUUAGCUUCUCAAUGUUGUAUUGAAUAUAUUAUGUAUCUAUUGUAGUUUUAUCUUGAUUGUAUCAAAUUAAUAUAUAUUGAUAGUAUAAAUAUUUAUUUUUUACUGACUAAUGUAGUUAAAUGGGAUGAUUAUCAUUCAUAAAAAGUAUGACAACAUGACAAAUAAAGUAGAUAAUUGUAUUAUAGUUAUAAAUUUAAGUAUACUGAUAAUAAAUAUGAAUAACAAACAACAUAUCAAAAUAUAUAACAAUAUUUCAAAAUAAUAAAUAAUAAACAAGUCUAAAUAUUUCUUUAGUUAAAAAAAUUAAUCCAUAUCUAAAAGGUUCAAUGUUAGUUGGUUAUAAUAUAAUUAGGAUUGGUGAGGACAAGGUAUUAUUAUAAUUUGGUCCAAAAGGUGGUUAAGAUUUGGGAGUUUAUCUUGAACAAGUGAUUAAUAAUAUUUGAUAUAUAAAGAACAAUGCCGAAAAUAUGUUUGAACUAGUCGAUAUAAAUCAAAUCUUUUAAGCUAGCCCAUGAAUAUAUAAGCUACAUCAUUCACUGUCACUAAUUUUAAUAUAGACAUUUGGUUGAAUUAAAAAUAAUUUAUACACAUUGAUAGUGAUAAUAUAUAUUACACUCAUUUUCACCCCCACCCCUCACACACAUAAUAGAGUUUUUACAAUAGCAAAUAUAGUACAUUAGUACUUUUUAUAGUUCAACUAAUUGACAAUGAAGGUGAGAAAUUGCAAAUAUAGUACUUAUAUAGUUUUAAUUUAAAAUAACAUGGAGCUUAAAAAGGACAUAAAGUCUUUUUAAAUUUGUGAUUAUGAAUAUAUGGUAUAAUUAUAAGACUUUGUGAAAUUUGUACUCUUAAACAUAUUAAUAUACAAAUAGCUAUAAAUAUAUUGUAUCAUUAUAAGAUUUUUAAAAUUGCACGAAUAGUCAGAUACCAAUAAAAUAUAUGUAUUUAUAAAAAAAAAAAACUAAGAUUGUUGGUGAUAUAUGUAGUUUUGAAUUAAGCUUUCUUCUCUAUUUAGUGAUUGGUUAAAUAGAGUUUGUAAAACUAUAGGCAGUGUGUAUAGAAAGAGCUGCGAAAUUAAUUAAGCACUCACUUCUGGAUUCAUAUUAAUUGUCAUGUUUUGCUUUUUUUGAAAAUUCAACUAGAUAAUCAUAGCUUUAAUAAUAUUUUAAAAUAAUAUUUUUAUCAUAAUAAUAUGAGAAUGGUUGUAGCUUUCAGUACUUUAUCGUAUAAAUUUGAAGUAUUUAAAUUCUAAAUAAGAGAAUUAAGUUGAUUUUAUUUAAUUUUAAUUUAAAAAUAACUCACAUUAAAAUUUUAUAAACCAAAACAUGCAAUUUAUUUGAGACGGUAAUAUAUAUGUUGUUUGAUAGCAGCCUAUCAGCUGAAUUAAUUUGAAGUCUUACGUUUUAUAAUUAAUAAUGAGAUUAGAAGUCUCAACAAGAAACAAUUAACAAUGUAAGUUUCUUAUAUGACAUAUUGUGAAACAAUCUCAACUCUUUAUCGCCUUCUGAAUCAUUUUCAGAGACAGAUUCAUGAUUAGAAUUUUAUGAAGUAAUAUAAUUUUUUAAAUUAUAAUUUUAUUUAAUUUAUUAAGUUCGAAAUUUAUUUUUUACAUAUAUUUAUUAAAAAGAACUUCAGUCGAAGUAACUUAUAAUUACCUCAAGUAAUAAUAAGACUAAUUAAAUCAUCAAAACUACUUGAUAUUAUUUUUUUACUUUUCCGCCAUAGAGUUGCAUUAUUGGUUAGAAAUGAAUUUUCUAAAAUUUAACGAUGUAUCAUUAAUUGAUUUAGUCACAGUUGUUAAUUGAUUUAGUCACAGUUGAAAGAUAACCUAUGGUUGGAUAAUUGAUUUAUAGAUGUGUAUCCUUCAUGUCUGAAAGUAGGUAGAAAAUUGACAUUAUUAAACGCACUGUAAAAUUUUCAUUUAUUCAUUAAAGAAAGUACCUUUUGAAAAAAUUAUUUUUUCUUUCAUACCUAUCAUAAAAAUAUAUCUGUUCAGGAACAAAACAUUAAUGUGUUCGCAACAUAUAACAAAUGAUAUACAUCCCUCCUUUAGUCCUAAACUUAAUUUUAACCUGUUUGCCUCAUUGUUAAAAGGUAAGUUUUAAAAUAUCAAUAUUUUCACAUUUAAUAGGAUCCAUCGUCAACACUUUUAAUAUUUACUAAAAAUGUCAAAUAUUUAGUUUAUUAUGUAUCUUGUUUAAAUAUUAUUUAAAGAAUAUAAUUGUCAACUAACAAAAAGGAGAAAUUUAGGGGAGAAUUUUUUUAAAAAAUAGGAAUAAUUCGCUUUAGUCUCAUCAGUUACAAAAAUUCAAAAGUAAACACAAAUUCAAAAAAAUAAACACAAAGAACUCAUCCCACCUGUUCAUCAAAUUUCUAGUAUCGAUUUUUAAAUUUUCAUUGAUAAUACUCAAUUUAUGUUGAAAUGAAUUCGAUUAAAUCGCGUUUUUAAAAUUUGUAUUUUUUAGAAUAUUGUAUCAAAUUUAACAGAUUGUACUAUUGUCAUUAUGUAUGGUAUUCUUUUCCUAGAAUCAUGUAUCUUUCUUUAAUCGUAUUCAUAUGUAAUGACUAUAUUAUAUUGGAAUACAAUUCGUAAUUUUUUUGUGAUACAAAUAAAAGAAAUAUAUUUGGCAGUUAUGUAAUACAAUUUUGAUCACUAGGAUACAAUUUUAGUUUCACUAUGCAAGUAAAAUACCAAUUCUAAUUUAAAUGGUAAAGUGAGCACAUAAAAUACAAAAUUUGUUGAUAUACAAUUAUGAUGAAAACAUAAUAAAAAGAAAUAGAAACUUUUUGUCAUUGAAAUUGAAACUAAAAUAUGAAAUGACCACAAAAAAUACACACAUCAGUUGGAAUACAAAAUUGACUUUGUUGGUAUAUCAUUAUUAUGAACACAAAAAAUACGAACUUUUCUGAAUACAAUGUGAGAAUUAAAUACAAAAUGAUCACAGUAAAAUACUCACCACAAUUUGAUAUUUAAAUUUAAUUUGAAUUGUAAAGUGAACACAUAAAAUAUAAAAAAUGUUGAUAUACAAUUAUGAUGAAAACAUAAUGAAAAAGAAAUACAAAUUUUUUGUCAUUGAAAAUUAAGAUUGAAAUACAAAAUGAUCACAAUAAAUACUCACUUCAGUUGAAAUACAAAUGUGACUUUGUUGGUAUACGAUUAUGAUGAAUACAAAAUUAAAAAAAAUAGAACUUAUUUGCAUACAAAGUGAUAUUGAAAUAUAAAAUAAACAAAUUAAAAUACAAAAUUAUUGUCAUUUGUGUUCUAAGUUUCAGUUGUGAUAUUUGAAAAAUAGAACAUUGUUGAUUAAGUUGAAUGCCUUUAGUAAUUCUCUUAGAUUCUUCCAUUGGAGAGUGAUCUAGAGUUUAUCAAACCGAAAAAGGUGAUUUCGACUACAAACAACAAUUUUGAACAAUUUAUACAAAAAUAAAAUCAUAAAACAAAUAUUGAAAAAUGAAUAAAAAACUCAUAUUUUAAUAAAAGGGAUUGUGUGAAUAUCUUUAUAAAUAUAUUUUUCUGGAAAAAAAGAAGAAGAAGAGAGACAGAUUUUGAAAUGAAAAAGAAUUCGAAGAUGAAAAUAUGAGAGACAGAGAGAGAGAAUAUUUUAUUUUUUUAAAUACAUAUGAGUGAGGAUUAAUUGGAAAAUUUGUAAUUAAAAUGAGAUUAUAUAGGAAGUAAAUUAGAAUACACAAUCUUUUCUAAAAUAAUGACAUUUUUGAUAUUUUUACUUAUAUUUAUAAAGUAUGGAGGUUUUACUAAUUAAGUUAAGUUAUUUGACUAGUUUACUAAUUUUUCCUUGUUAAAACUAGAGCCGUCAAAACAGUCUUAGCUCAUGAAGAUGGUCCAACCCAAUUCGUUAUUAAAGUAGGAUUGAAAUAAAUUUUUUCAAUUCCAUUUAAAACUAGGACUUAUAAGUCCAACCCAUAUAAACUCUUGAUCCUAGAGGCUUGAUUGAGCCUGGGCCAGGGUCAACCCAUGGACCAUUUUUUUAUUCAAGGGUAACUUAUAAUAAUCUCACUAAUAUAUAAUCAAAUUACUUAAAUACACACCAUGUUGUAAUAUUAUGAUUCUUACCAGAUUUUGGUACGUCCAGAUACAUGUAUCUCGAAAUAUAUCGAUUCAAAAUUAAGUUAAUUUGUUCUAGAUAUACUCUAUCCAAGUAGAUUUGCAUAUCUAGGAUACAUAGGCAAAUCUCGCACCCUCACUUCACUCACAUUUUGUUUGUCACUCUCUUAUCGCGCUCGCGUAUCUGGUAUGUGAGAUACAUAUUAAUUAUACUAUAUUUUUACGAGUGUUAUUGAAACAACACCAUUAUUUUCCAUAUUUCAUUUGAAAAUCUUCUCAUGUUCAUGAUGUUAUAGAAUUAUUAGUUUAAAAAGAAAAAUAAUCGAAAAAGAAUGGCUAGCCUGCCCCAGCCCUCGACCCAUAUAGGGUUGUGCCGGAUUGAGAAUUUUCUGGCCCUACCAAAUGAAGGGACGGCCCACCCUAGCCCUUCAAAUUUCUUGGCCUCGAGGCUUGGAUCGAGUGGGGAUGGGUGAACCCUUUUUGACAGCUCUGGUUAAAAUUUUAAGUUUAACAAGUUUCAUCCCAUAAAUAGAACUUUCGAUUUUUGACCUUAAAGGUUUACCAGUGAAUCGAGAAGUAGGGGUCAAAAGUUUAAAAGCAAUUACCAAUUUCAAACUCAUUCUUACAAAUCAUCGACAUUUUUGAGCUGUGAUCAAAUUAAAAGAAUAAUGUACAUGUAUUAGGUCAUAAAAACAAGAUCUCAUUUUUAAAAAAGUAAAAGAUUGUAUAAAUUUCCUAGUGUUAAGAGCUAAUUAUAUUCUAUACCUAUUAUUUUUUCAAAUUACAAAAAAUUCUUAAAUUUAUAGGAUCUUGAAUACAUCAAGAAACUUGCAAAUACGUAUACAUAGUACUUAAUGGGAAGGACGUAUCUGAGAGGGGAGAAAUGUCUUCGAGAGAGGAAAUGAAUGUAUCCCAAAAAUUUUUUUUUGUAAUUUUUUAAGAAAAAAAUGACAGAAAAUGUUAGAGAUUAUAAUAUCGUUUUAAAAAAAGACUUGGCUUAAUUUCAACAUGGAUCUUUCAUGACAAUUGAGCUUAUAAUGGUUUUUUCUCAUUAUAAAAAUUGACAUGUAGGUACAAGUCCUACGUAUAUAUAAUAAUAUUGACAUUCUUUUAUUUGGAUCGUUAUUAGAGCAUGCUAUUACCAUUAAGCUCAAAAUCAUGUAAUUGAAUAAAAACAAAGAAAAGAUUCAAUGUGAGUAUUGGUGUUUGAAACUAAUAAUGAUUCUUUUCUUCAAAUUCGAUCUGACUUCAACUUACAAAAUAAUCAUCUAGACAGUUAUUCCGUUGGUUGGUAAGCCACUAUUUUUCAAAGGGAAGAGGGUUUCCCUAUAACUAAAAAUGCUACCAACCUCAGUUGCUUUAACAUAUCUCCAACUCUUAUUCUUCACAUGAUGAAAAAAAUAAUCACAUACAUCACUUGAUUCUUCUAUCCAAUUCCAUAUUGUAAAUACAAUUUCUUCAUCACCAUACUUGCAAACACCAUAGGGAUGCAAGCAUAUAUCAUCCUUAUGUUUCAAUUCUAAAGGAAAUUCAAAUAUUUCAUGUUCCCAAAAUCCAUAUAUGGAUUUCUUUACUAACAAUAUCAUCCGGAAUAUACAUAAUCCCCAAUUUUUCAUUCACCUCUAAUAGCAUAUAGUACUCAGGUUCCAAAUUCGUCGAAAUUAUACGUAUCUAUACUGUUAUGAAAUUCGUGAUAGUUGUGAAUAUUUCUGAUUUAAUAUCAAAUGCAACUAUAAAAAAUGCAGUACGAGAAUAGCUAAAUCGAUAGAUGAUCCCACUAAUUACGCGAUGUCCAUAUGUGAUAUCAGACAUAUGAUAAUCAUAUUCGUCACAUGUAAUUAUCUCUCUCCAUGAAUUAUCUAUACCUAAAGUAAAAACCCAUGCUUUUGAUGUAUCAAGAUUAAUUAGUUUACAAAUAGACAAUAAAACUUUAUACUCGUUUUCUACUACAAGUCAUUAGCUUCUAUACAUGUAUCUCUUAAGUAUACAUGUCUACUGGUUGUUAGGUAGUGGAGCUUGAUUAAUUUUAGGUUUUCCUAUUUAUUCUCUAUUCUAGGUUUUCCUAUUUAUUCUCUAUUUUAGGUUUUCCUAUUUAUUCUCUGUAAUAAAAAAUACUCUGAUUUAUUAAUAUAAAUAUACCUCACCGCCGUGGAAGUUUACUCACGGGGUUUUACCACGAAAUAUUAGGUUUUCUCUCUCUCUCUCUAGGUUUCUCAUCUCUUUCCCUAUAAAGUUCUUGUGUUCUUCAUUCAUCUAGUGUGUGUGCGUGAAUUCAAUCCUAACAACUGGUAUCAGAGCUAAGGAGAUUCAACACAAUCAUUGAAGAUGGAUAGUUCAAAGCUUGGAAUCGAGAAGUUUGAUGGAUCCGAUUUCUAAUUCUGGAAGAUGCAGAUCGAAGAUUAUCUGUACCAGAAAGAUCUUCACGAACCGUUGACCGGGGUGAAGCCGGAAUCCAUGACGGAGAAGAAGUGGAAACUCAAGGAUCGCCAGGCUCUAGGGUUGAUCCGGUUGACUUUGUCAAGAAACGUGGCGUUCAACAUCGUGAAGGAGAAGACUAUGUCCGGUCUGUUGAAGGCACUGUCAAACAUGUAUGAAAAACCAUCGGCUAUGAACAAGGUAUAUUUAAUGCGUAGAUUUUUCAAUUUACAGAUGUCUGAGAAUGGAUCCGUUUCUGAUCAUAUAAAUGAGUUCAAUAUGAUUGUGAGUCAACUCAAUUCUGUGGAUAUUAAUUUCGAAGAUGAAAUUAAGGCGUCGAUUUUGAUGUCAUCUCUGCCCGAGUCUUAGGAUACUGUUGUUGCUGCGAUUAGCAGUUCCGGUGGAUCUGAGAAACUGAAUUUUGAUGAAAUCCGUGAUGUUGUCCUUAGCGAAAGUAUUCGCAAACGAGAAGUGGGAGAUUCAUCGGACAGUGCUCUCAGCGUUGAUCGGAAGGGGAGAAGUAAGACGAAAGGCCAAAAUCAACAUGGUCGAUCAAAAUCAAAGAAUCGAGGAAAAUCACCGAACAGAUCAAACGUGACUUGUUGGAACUGUGGAGAAAAAGGAUACUUUCGGACGAACUGUACAAAGCCAAAGAAGAAACAGAAUCAGAAAUUUGGAGAUGACAAUGAUUCUGUAAAUUCAGCAGAGGACAUUGGGGAUGCUUUAAUACUUAGUGUGAAUAGCCUAGUUGAAUCAUGGAUUUUUGAUUCUAGUGCAUCUUUCCAUUCGUCUCCAAGCAAGGAGUUGUUCCAAAAUUUUAAAUCUGGGAAUUCUGGAAAAGUAUAUCUUGCUGACAAUAAAGCCUUAGAGAUUGAAAGAAAGGGGGAUGUUUGCAUAAAUAUCACCUCGGGAAACAAGAGGACAUUGGAGGAUGUCAGAUAUAUUCCUGGGAUCAAGAAAAAUCUGAUAUCUGUUGGUCAGUUGGAUAGCACGGGAUAUGCAGCAGAGUUUGGGAAAGGUUCGUGGAAGAUCGUGAAAGGUGCUAUGGUAGUAGCUCGUGGCACCAAAUCUAGGACCUUGUACACCACUGCAGGGUGUAUAAACAUGGCCACUGUUGCUGAAGGUGCUUCCGAUUCAUGUCUGUGGCACAACAGACUUGGACACAUGAGUACUAAAGGAAUGAAGAUGCUGGUUGCAAAAGGAGCAUUAGAGGGUCUGAAGUUUGUUGAUAUGGGUCUUUGCGAGAGCUGUGUUAUGGGCAAACAGAAAAGAGUAAGCUUCAUAAAGACUCCUAGAGAGCCAAAGAAAGUGCGGUUGGAAAUGGUCCAUACAGAUGUUUGGGGACCAUCUCCAGUAUCAUCACUUGGAGGAUCCAGAUUUUAUGUUACCUUCAUUGAUGAUUUCAGCAGGAAGGUAUGGGUUUACUUCUUGAAGCAUAAGUCAGAUGUGUUUGCAACUCUCAAGAAGUGGAAAGCCGAAGUUGAGAAUCAGACCGGUUUGAAAGUCAAAUGCCUAAGGUCUGACAAUGGAGGAGAGUAUGACAAAUCAGAGUUCAAGGCAUUCUGUGCAGCUGAGGGAAUCAGAUUGAUGAGAACAGUUCCUGGCAAGGCAAGGCAGAAUGGAAUUGCUGAGAGGAUGAACAAAACAUUGAAUGAGCAUGCAAAGAGUAUGAGGAUACAUUGUGGGCUGCCCAAAACACUUUGGGCGGAUGCUGUGAGCACAGCUGCAUACUUGAUCAACAGGGGACCAUCAAUUCCUUUAGGGUUUAAGAUUCAAGAGGAGGUGUGGACAGGAAAAGAACUCAAGUAUUCACACUUGAGGACUUUUGGUUGCACUGCUUAUGUUCAUGUUGAUCCAGAAAAGAGAGACAAGCUUGACGCCAAGGCUGUGAAGUGUUACUUCAUAGGAUAUGGUUCUGAUUUGUUUGGUUACAAGUUUUGGGAUGAAAAGAACAGAAAGAUCCUGAGACAUUGUGACGUGGCAUUUGAUGAGUCUGUCCUGUACAAGGACAGAGAGCAGAAGGUUCUAGAGAUUACAAAGCAAGUGGGAGUUGAGGUUGAGUUAGAGUAGAGUAACCCCAGAGAUGUCGAAGCGGAUACUCAACCAACUCCUACUGAAGAAUCUGAAGUGGAGCAAGUUACACCUGAGCAAGUGUUAAGGAGAUCAUCCAGAUCCAUCAGGGCACCAGAUAGGUAUUCACCUUCAUUAUACUAUCUAUUGCUGACUGAUGAGGGGGAACCAAUCUUUUGAUGAGGCCCUACAGGUGGAGGAUUCGAUCAAGUGGGAGGAAGCCAUGGAUGAUGAGAUGAGGUCACUUGAAAACAACGACACAUGGGUGUUGACUGAGCUACCUGCAGGGAAGAGAGCUUUGCUGAACAAGUGGGUGUUCAGAAUCAAGACUAAACCAGAUGACAAAAGAAGGUUCAAGAAUCGUUUAGUGGUUAAAGGAUAUUCACAAAGGAAAGGUAUUGAUUAUGCUGAAAUUUUCUCUCCUGUUGUGAAGUUAACCUCUAUUCAAAUUCUGUUAAGUAUUGUUGCAUCGUAAAAUUUGGAUCUAGAGCAAAUGGAUGUAAAAAUAGCAUUUUUACAUGGAGAUCUGGACAAAGAGAUCUAUAUGCAGCAACCGGAAGGAUUUAUGGUUCCAGGCAAGGAACACAUGGUGUGCAAGCUCACCAGGAGCUUGUAUGGACUAAAGCAAGCGCCAAGGCACUGGUAAAAGAAGUUUGACUCCUUCAUGACCAAGAGUGGAUUCUGCAAAGCUGAAAAGGAUCCUUGUUGUUACUUCAAGAAAUACACUGAUUCAUAUGUCUUUCUACUCUUGUAUGUGGAUGAUAUGUUGAUUGCAAGAUCUAGUAUGAAGGAGAUUAACAAUCUGAAGACAAGGCUGUCUGCAGCGUUUGAGAUGAAAGAUUUGGGUCCAGCAAAACAGAUUUUGGGGAUGAAUAUUUCUCGGGAUAGAUCUGCUGGCACUUUAAAUCUAUCUCAGGAGUUGUACAUUGAGAAGGUGCUGAGCAGAUUCAGGGUUAAUGAUGCUAAACCCAGGACCACUCCAUUGGAAAAUCACUUUAAAUUGUCAAAGGAGCAGUCACCCAAGACUGCAAGGAGAGUGAUCACAUGGCCUUGUUCCAUAUGCUUCAGUAGUUGGUAGUUUGAUGUAUGCUAUGGUCUGCACUAGACCUGAUAUAGCAUAUGCAGUGGGAGUUGUUAGCAGGUACAUGGCGAACCCUGGGAAAGAGCAUUGGGAAGCUGUGAAGUGGCUUCUGAGAUAUGUGAGAGGUACAUCCAGUAGUUCACUUUGUUUUGGCAAAGUCAAGGUGAAUCUACAGGGUUUUGUGGAUGCUGAUCUUGGUAGGGAUGUUGACUCGAGCAAGAGUACAUCCGGGUAUAUUUACACCAUAGGUGGAACAGCAGUAAGUUGGAUGUCCAGGCUUCAGAAGUGUGUUUCUCUUUCAUCUACUGAAGCUGAGUAUGUGGCAAUAGCUGAAGCUGGGAAACAGAUGAUAUGGCUGGCAGAUUAUCUUGAGGAAUUGGGCAAGAAGUAGAGCGAGAAGAUUCUUUACUCAGAUAGCCAGAGUGUCAUACAGUUGGUGAAAAAGCCAGUCUAUCGUUCGAAGACAAAGCACAUCAGAAGGCGAUACCAUUUCACUCGCAGGGCAGUGGAGGAUGGUGGUAUGUGCUUGGAGAAGAUAGAGGGUGCAAAAAACCCGGCAGACAUGUUGACGAAAUGUUUGUUGAUUUGGAAACUGAGGUUAUGUAAAACCUCGGUUGGUCUUCUGUAGUUGUUGCUAUAGAUGUUGCGGUGCGGUAAAGAUGUUGAUGAUGAAGAGAUUUUUUUUGAGGAUGUAUUUUUUUAGAUGACUGAGUCAGUCUCAAAGUGGGAGAAUUGUUAGGUAGUGGAGCCUGAUUAAUUUUAGGUUUUCCUAUUUAUUCUCUAUUUUAGGUUUUCCUAUUUAUUCUCUAUUUUAGGUUUUCUAUUUAUUCUCUGUAACAAAAAAUACUCUGAUUUAUUAAUAAAAAUAUACCUCACAGCCGUGGAAGUUUACUCAGGGGGUUUUACCACGAAAUAUUGGGUUUUCUCUCUCUCUCUCUCUCUCUCUCUCUCUCUCUCUAGGUUUCUCAUCUCUUUUCUCUAGAAGUUCUUGUGUUCUUCAUUUAUCUAAUGUGUGUGCGUGAAUUCGAUCCUAACACUGGUCAACAAAUUUCCUACUACCUAAGAAGGUCAUGAAACGUAUAACGACAGUUUGUAGAAAUUUCCUUUUGAGCGGCCAACUACAUACAUCUAAAGCACCACUUGUAGCAUGGGAGAUAGUUUGCCAGAGCAAACAAGAGGGAGGCUUGGGAAUUACAGAGUGUAUGAGAUAGAAUGAGGCUUCUAAAGCAGAAUACAUAGACUAAAUUUAUCUUGGUCAGAACAAGACCUCGCUUUUGUGUUCUAUGAAUUAAAGGAACAAACGUUGUUGAAUGAAAUAGCAGGGGGUUACACAUUCCAUUGUGCCGACAGACACACACUACAACAAAACUGAAAGCCAAUCUUAAACAGACAAAAAGAAGGGUAGUAGUAGUCCACCAAAAAACACAAAAUAUUUUAAUUCCAAUUCAAUGAUACUGAACAAAAUAUUUCCAAUUCAAAACCAAACAUAAAGGUACUAGGAGUAAAACAUAUUGUAGAAACCAUAAAAUAUAAUGAGGGCUAGGGAAAGACCCCGAAAUUGCAUUUGUCUCUCUAAAACAAAUACUGAUAGAGAACCACAAACAAUAUUCCGUUCUCAGCGGAAACCUGCCUUAGAGAUUGAACGCCAAUAAGAUAAAUUAAAGGAACAGAAACCAAUAGACCCAUAGAUCUUCCUUGUAUGUUGAAAUAGUAUCUCUCUUCUUCCAUAAGCAGUCGAAGGGAACGAAAAAUAAUUCUUUACCCACAAAUGCGAAACACUUCCCGGCUGAAAAAUUAUAAAAAUGACAAAACUAGUAAAUAAUUUUACAACAUAUUUCUCUAUGAUAAAAAUAAUUAUUAAAAAAAGAGAUCAAUACGUUACCCUUUUCAGUUUAUGCACCGGUCUUUCCUCUGCAGUGCCAGUAGCAAUAGAUUUACCUUUUUCGUUCUGCACAGUGAAAUAAGACAGGAGAUCAAUAUGAUGUGAUGGUAGAUUGAUCAAAUGACGAGUCCGGUAGUUCGACAGCAAUACAAUGAGUAGUAAAGUCAAUGUGUUACCGAAUGAUUUGAACUUGCAUAGGAGACAAGUCUUCAACUUAAUAUGAUAUUGAAAUGUUAGACAUUUUUGUUGUUAAUUGAGAUAUGAUUACCAAUUUACCAUAAGGAUUAGUACAAAUGGGAGUAAACCUUGAUGGAUCAGUAGUUAACGACGUGUUCGUUAGACUUUGUUCAUAGUGCAGAAAUAACAUACUUUUAGAAGAUUAAAUACUUUCAUAAUAUAAUUCGCUAUGAUAAAAGAAGAGGAAGAUAUAUAUGAAAAACAACCUCGGAUGCUUUAGUUGAGGGAGCAUUAUGGAUAUGAACCAGCAUUUCCUUUUCAGUAUUAAUAGUUUUAUCCUGUUCUUUCUGCACAGCGAAAUAAGACAAUAUAAGUUGUAAGCAUAUUUUAUAAAAAUUAGUUUUCACAUUAUACAUUUGCAAGUUAUUGUAUAAUUUCGAUUUUCAAUAUUAAACCAUCAUAAAUAGAAAUGACAAUGGAGGAAAACCAACAAGAUUUAGAGCCAUGAGUAAUAAAUGAAAUCGACAAUGUGGAUUAGACUUCCAGAGGAAUUUUACGACCACAGAAUCCUAGACGAGGUAGGGGAAAGCUUGGUAGGUUAAUAAAGACAGUAGAGAAUAGCAGAAGAAAAGUAUAAUACGGGAAGCCUUUUGCUAGCCCAAAUAAUUAACCUACAAAACAUAACUUGUUUAUGAAAGAAGACUCUUUGAUUUGAGAUAUAAAUACCAAUUUACCAUAAGGAUAAGUACAAAAUGGAGUAAAUCUUGAUGGAUCCAGUAGUUAACAACAUGUUCGUUCUACUUUGUUCAUCGUGUUUUUAGAGACUACUGAUAAAUACCUCACGAAUGGGAAGGUUGAAAUGGCAUACUUUCAGAAGAUUAAAUACUUUCAUAACAUAUUUCCCUAUGAUAAAAAAAAGAGAGGAAGAGAUAUAUGAAAAACAACCUCGGAUGCCUUAGUUGAGGGAGCAUUAUCGAGAUGAACCGGUAUUUCCUCUUCAGUGUUAAUAGCUUUAUCCUGUUCUUUCUACACAGUGAAAUAAGACAAUAUAAGUAGUAAGCAUAUUUUAUGAAAAUCAGUUUUCAAAACAUUUGCAUGUUAUUGCAUAAUUUUGAUUUUCAAUGUUAAACUAUCUUAAAUAGAAAUGAUAGUGGAGGAAGACCAACAAGAUUUAGAGCAUGAGUAAUAAAUGAAAUCUGCAAUGUCGAUUAGACUUCGAGAGCUACCAAUGGAAUUUUAAGACCACAGAAUCCUAGACGAGGUAGGGGGAAACUUGGUAGGUUUAGUAAAGACAUUAGAGAAUAGCAGAAGAAAAUUACAAUUCGGGAAACAUUUUGUUAGCCCCAAAUCGUUAACCUAGAAAACGUAACUUGCUUAUAAAAGAAGACACUUUUAUUUGAGUUGUUCUUUGGGGUUUUUUUUACAAAUGUACAAUACCAUCCCAUAUGUUAUACUAAACUAUGGAUGAUUCUACAUACUACAAAAUCUAGACUAUUCCAUGAUUUUCUAUAAAUAUAUAAUUACUCUAGAUAUUUCUAUAAGAUAUUUAUCUAAGUGACUACACUAGAUUAUUCUAGAAACUUCCCUAAUAAUCUAGGAUUUUUGUAAUUUCAAAAAAGCAUCUUUAUUUUUCACACUCUCCUUAAAGUGUUUUUUUGGAAACUACCCCACACUUGUCGUGGAAGAGAUCAAAUAAAGCUUUGAGCCACGUCUAGGUAAAAAUUCUCAACAAUUUCUUUCGGACUCCUCUUCCUUCUCCAAAUGAUAAAGAUUUUUCGUUGUAAGUUGAUCCACGUAGAUUAUCUCCGUUUCUCAAACUUCUUCUUAAACUUAGAUUUCUUGUAGUUGUACUAUUUGGAGAUAAAUCUUAGAUGAAAAAGUUUGAAACUGCAAUGCUCAAAAUUUUAGAAAAUGUUUCUUUUGAUUCAAUUCAAUAUAUUAAGGGAUUUCAUUAUUAAUAGCCUCUUCAUCUCAAUCGGUGAUGAUAUUUUCAUCUAUUUAUUGUGAAGCUUCGUCACCAUCGUAGGAUACACCAUCAAAUUUCCUUCUGUGCUCUUCAAUUACCUACUUAUCAUCUUUAGAGCUUUGGAAAGUUAUAUCGUCUAUCGCUUCACCUGAAAUUUGGUCUUCAAGGUCGGCUUCUCCAUAUAUUUGAUCAACAUGUUCUCCAUUUGCUUCCAAUAUUUGAUUUGAGUCAAUGAAUGGACUUGAUAUCGCUAAAGAUUGAUCAAAGACAUCAACUUCCCAUAUAUCUUUGUCAAUAUUUUCUAUAUAGCUCCAGGCGUUGCUUGUUCUGAAUUUACUUCCAUUAUUUAUUCGAUAGAAGCUACCAUAUCACCAGUAUAUACAUCUUCAAGAGUUUAUUGCUUCAUAUCGAUUACAUCAGUGCCUUGCUUCUCCACAUGGUCAACUGCAUUAUAUCCUGGAUCCUCAAUCCAAUCUCUUUCAAGGUUGAUAGAAACCAUUGUUGCUCGAGCCUCAACUAUACUAAAAACAUUCCCAUUCUUCUUCUUUUUCAAUAACUUUUUUAGUCAUAUGUGUCAUCUAUAUCUUUCAUAGGCCCUGCUUCGCCACAUAACAUUUGAGAUUAUUCUUACAAAUAGUUAGAAGGCUCUUCCUUCUCUAUCCCCAGUCCAUUAUAUUAACAUGGCCCCUAGAAUCCAUAUGGACAAUCCAGAUGAAUCUACCUAACCUGAUCUUGAAUAAAAUCCAAAAUUCAAAAAAUGACUGGCUCUGAUACCAUGUAGAGAAUAGCAAAAGAAAAAUAUAAUUCGGGAAGUCUUUUGCUAGCCCAAGAUCGUUAACUAAUAUCAAAAGAUUCAACUAAGGAAGAGGAAGCUAGAAAAUAUAACUUAUUUAUAAAGAAGACUCUUUUAUUUGAGUUUUUCUUGGGCUUAUUUUUACAAAUAUACCCAUAUUUAUACUAACCUAUGGAUGGUUCUAUAUAACAAAAAUUUAGAAUAGUCCAUGAUUCUCUAUACAUAUCUAAUUUCUCAAGAACAUCUACAAGAAAAGUCUGGUAACAUUAUCUUCUUCUCUAGAUACUUAUCCAAGUGACUACACUAAAUUAUUCAAGAAACAUUCCUAAAAGUCUAGGAUUUUUGUAGUUCCAAAAAAUCAUCUCUAUUAUUCAAAGAUGUAUGUACAUUUGAUACACUGUGAGGAUGUUAUGCCCAUAUCCGUGUGGAGGUCCCUAUUGGUGUGUGUGAAAAAAACAUACAUAUUUGAGAGUGCAUAAACGAACAAUUAUUUACAAGGGUUCUGUAAACUAUGCACUAGAUGUGGAGUUCUAGAAAGCACUAUACAAAGUUGCUCAAUCCAUAUAUUAAACACUAGAAAUCUGACAAAAGUAAUCGGUGUUGGUGUCAGCUCUAACAGUGAAAGAAAUGGUGGUGACACUAAUAAUGAAGAAUGCAACACUGACAUGCUUGAGAAAAGGAACUUGAAGCUAAGCACAAGAAGCAUGGCAAAUGUAAAAUUUGGAAAAGGAAAAAAAGUCAUAUCAAGCAAGUAAUACCUUAUGAUUAAAUAAGAACAUAAUCGUCACUAGUUAUGUUCAUCGUUUAAAACAUUUUUACUAACUCCAAGUCAUAUAUGACUUGAUAGGACCGAAAAUUUGGUCACCAGGUCAUUUUUUUGGUUAUUAUGUGUAUUUUCGUGUUUUGAAGCUUUUUAAACUUGAGAUGUUGACUUUUGGUAAAAUUUAGGAAAAUGGACUCAGAAUGCAUUUCUAACGAUUCUAUUAGCUCUAGAACGUCAAGUUUGAUCUGAAAGGACCUUUCGUGUGGGCCCCGAGGCUUCAUGGCUCAUUUCAAGCUACCUUAUGGAUUUUGGCUUUAAAUGGAGCUUAGGUGUGGGAGACUACCAUUUUUGGAAGUUUUGACAAUUCUGUUGAGUAUUAAAUGUCGAAUUUUGUGAGGUAACAUAAUUUGAUGAAUGCACGGGUUUCUAUUGAAUUUUGAGCCCCCUUCAUGGAACUUCGCCAAAUCCAACAUCAGUUGGUGAAGCCUUUGCUAGUGCACCAUGCAUUUGUUCUUCGAGUUCAAGGACCUAGAGUUGCAUUCACGGAGGCCAAGAAAUUGGUCACAUCAUUCGUAGAGUGUUAGGAUUCUCACCCUUUGUCGUUCACGGACUAGGUUCUGCGUACUUAGAGAAGGGUCAGAGUUGUCCUGGUCAGUGCCACCGCAUUGUGUCAAUGAGGCCCUGGUUGUGGAGGUCAUUUAAUUGGCCUACUAUAUUGUGAUUAACAUGAAUUCCAUAAUCAUUUUCUAACUUUGUGAAGUUAAUUUAUGAUCAUUCUAGCUCCGCUUGAGAUAAUUUUUAUUGCGAAGUGCUGAAAAUUGUUGGGGCUUCAAGAUAGGACCAUUUGUUUUGUUUUAGGGACUCGUCUAGGAGGUUAAUACUUGUCCUGAACCUCCCUUCUUAGACUUAUAUGGUUAUUUGUGAUUCUUGUUAUUGCAUGAGCUGUUUUGGCUCUUUUUGGAGAUCGGAUUGUUUCCCUUUUUUGGGGUUCAAGCUCCUUGAAAUUAAUGGGACUGAUUGACGGAGUCAAUUUUGGGAUUUCCAAUAAUUAAUUUGGAGGAAAAGUGGAUAAAAAAAUUGAUAUGGUGGAAAAAAAUGAUAGUGUGUACAACUCUUUUAAAUCUCUUAAUUUUGUAAUUAUAUUUUCAAAAUAUAAAUGUUUAUUAACCAUACGUAGGUAUAUUAAAAAAAACUACAUCAAGGUCCAAAUAUGGAUGAACAUAGUGGUGUUGGAAUGAUGUAUCCUCUACAGUAACACCUUCAUAAUUAUUUUACUACAUAGUAAAAUCAGACAUAAAAAUUGUUAGCAAUUUAUUGACAAAUAUUUCUCUAAGAAUUCAUAAGUUAUGAUAUAAUAUUGAGUUUCAUUAUUGAAAUAUUUUAUACAACACAAAUUAAACAUUUCUAUAAUAAAGGUUGAUCAUUUGUGUUACACAAAAAUAUAAAAAAUAAUUUAAUUCAAAAUAACCAAUCAAAUUAUUUGAAAACUCUUUUCGGCCAAAAAUAUACAACUAUAUCCACUAUUUAUGUAGUGUAGGGAAAGUGGAAAAGGGACAAAUAGUGAAGAGUAAAAUAAUAGUGCGUACAAGCUUACUUUAUUUCCUUACUCAAAAAUCUAUUUGCUCAACUAAUAUAACUUGGUCCCCAAAUGGUAGUUCUAUUAGACUUUGGUACCAUAGAUAGAUCUCGAAUACCCCUCCCUUAAGACAAAGAGUUCAAGGUCCCUUUAUAUUGAAAUAUGAAAAUGCUACUAUUUCUUCUAUUUGGGAUCACGUCCUCAGAAUAUCAUGGAAGAAGUAAAAUUCAUUAGAUUAGGCCUUGAUUCUUUGAACAACGACAAGCAGUACAGGAAGGGCAACUCAAAUAGUUUGUUCACCACCAAAUCUGUCCUCCAUAUUCUGAAACAAUCCUUCCCAACCCGUUUUAUCAUAGCUGGAUUUGGAAGCAAAAAAUUCCAAAAAAAAUCAAAAUUUUCCUUUGGUUGUGCGCGACUUCCUACCAACCCCUUCAUGCACCACUUUUGCAUUGUCCCAGAAUCCAUUUGCACUAUCUGUAAACGAGAGGAAAACUAUAUCUCAAAUCUUCCUCCAUUUUUAAAUAGCUAAAAGGUUCUAGUUUGAUCUAGGUAUCCCCCCACCCCACAUAUCUCCCCAUACCCAAUGGCUCAAUUCAUUGAAAUAGAAGCUCUUCUCGAUGGUUUAAAAUUAAUUGUUAUUGUUCCAUUGUCCCUAUUGAUAUUAAGAUAGACUCCGUUGAGGCAAUAAAAGCAUUAGAAAACUUUCAACCUAUUUAUACAACAAAAUUAAUCUUUGCAGGUUGCUUAUGAAGAGGUUAGGAAUCCACCAGUCAGGCAUAGCUUCCAACAAGCAAACAAGGUAGCAGACUUUUUUGCCGAGACUAUGUACGAGCAAACACCGUCUAGUCUAGGAUGAUCAACAAGGCGCGAUAUCUACUAAACUAGUUUUAAGGGCCACUUGUAAUAAGCUAGCAUGUUUUGGUGAUCUAGCCGUAAUGGUCAAUUAUGGCAACAAUGUAGAGCCAGAGAUGUCUCAAAACCGGUAACUCCCUAGUUUAUAUAUAAUAUAUAUAACCUUGCCAUCAAAAAAAAAUUCUCAAACUCUGUAAGUAUAUUUUUAGAAUAUAAUAUUCUAUGACCAGUCAUAGACAUAUAAAAAACUAUCAAAGCUUCUAAAUUUGUAAGAACACUAUGUAUGUAGAAAGAACAUUUUUUCAUAUAUAAUAAUAUACCUGCAUAAUUUUCUUUCCAUAUAGUGAAUAAUGACACCAAAAGUUGUAAUUACAUUUUAUGACAAAUAUUUUCACAUUAUAUUUGUUUUGUAAGUUACGAUAAAUAUUGAUCUUCAAUUUUACAUUGUCAUAUUCAACACAUAUUUAACUACUCUUGUAAGAAAAGCAGAUCAUUUAUAUACGACAAAAACAUAAGAAAAAAUAAAUAAAAUAAUACGUACAUAUGAAGUCACCUCAAGUGUUGUGUUUGGGGGGAUCAUUAAGAAGUUGGAUCAAUCCUUCCUUUGUAGUAAGACCUUCAUGAUUAGCUUGCUACACAUGAUUGAAAUAAAAACAUCGAAAGUUAUAAAAAUAUUUAUUGAAAAUUAUUUGCAUUAUGGAAUUAUCUUGUACAACAUAAGUUCAUUUUUUCAUAUAACAAAAGUUUAUUAUUUCCGUUCUACAAAAAUUUAAAAAGUGGAUAAAAAGAAACUGAUAGUGUAAAUCAUUCGUACAGUGUUGGUCUUCUCACGAUUUGUCGUUCACGGACCAACUGGUCCUGCGUUCGCACAAAAGGCUCAGAGUUGUCCUGGCCAGUUCCACAACAAAUCGCGUCUAUGACGCCCUGUUCGUGGAGGUCAUUUAACUAGCCUACUAUAUUGUGAUUAGCAUGAAUUUUAUAAUCAGUUUAUAACUUUGUAAAGUUAAUUUCUGAUCAUUCUAGCUUCGCUUGAGCUAAUUUUUAUUGCUAAGUGCUAAAAACUUUUGGGGCUUCGAGAUAGGAUGAUUUGUUUUGUGUUGGGGACUCAUCUAGGAGGUUAAUACUUGUCCUAAGCCUCCCUUCUUAGACUCAUAUGGUUAUUUGUGAUACUUGUUGUUGCAUGAGCUGUUUUUGGGUCGUUUGUAGAUCAGGUUGUUCCCCUUUUGGGGUUCAAGCUCCUUGAGCUGAAUGAGACUAAUUGACAGAGUCAAUUUGGAUUUCCCACAUGGGUGUAAUACUCUAGAAGUUUCAUGACUUAGACUUGAGCCUCACCUAUUAAAAGAGGGUUAAAAUGACAUUUUCAAACCUAGACUAAUGUAAUAAAUUUGAUCUAGGAGUAUGAGAGCCUAAACGUCAAGGGACGACCAUGAUGUUCGAAAAGUAGUGCAAUUGAACUAGUAAACGUCUUUAGGUCUUGUGAAGGUUUGGGAGUGUUGUAUUAAGUCUAAAACUUGUAAAAAUAUGUUAAAUAAGUAAGAUAAUUUUUAUAGGGUGAAAACGUAUAGGUCCGACCCACUAAGGACAACCCUAGGGAUCCUUGAAAGGAACCACCAUUGACCAAACAAGAUGCCUAAGGCAGCAAGCACUUGCACUAUCAUGAACUAAUCUUGGUCCAAAAAUCUUGGUCCACGUCGCAGACUCUACUUUCUCAAAAAUUAAUUUCAGAAAUCUUGGCUCCACGACGUGAACUUGUUUUACGACGAAAAAUAUGAAAUUUGAAUUCAAGUUUGACUUCACAAAAAGGUCAACUUAAGCGAGGGAUAUUUUAGAUAUUCUAGGGGAGGGUUAUAUAUUGAUUUUUAAAUCAGUUUUAAGUCACAUUAAACCACUCAAAUCAAAUUUCAAAUCAAAACCAAAAGCUCUCACUUCUCUCUACUUUCUUUCUCUACGUAACCGGCAUUGAAGAAACAUUGAAGCUUGAAGAAGAACCAAAUACCCCAAGUUUUCUACUCAAAUUUAUGGCUGAAGUCUUCAUAAGGUAUGAAUUCUUUCACUCUUGGGUCAUUUGCCCGUGAGGUCUAUUCAAAGUUAAUUUCUAAAUCACCCAACUUCAAUGGUUUAUCUCUACAAAUGGGUUUCCUUCUAAACUGGAAAUUGAUUAUUAAUUAUGACGAAUGGUUAUUACUUAGGCUAAUUAAGUGCAUAUUGUUGAGUAAUUGAUGUUGAUGAUGUGAGAUUUCAUGUGAUCCAUGUUCCUUCCCUAAUAUCCCCAAAUCUUGGAUCUUGCUUAUGAAUUGAUUGGAAGUAAUGAGUUGUAUUGAUUGUUAGACUUGUGCUAACUAUGUUAUUUUAUUCAUGGACUGUCUAUUUUCAUGUAUUUGUUGGAUUGAAUCUAUUUCUUGAAGAAUUCAUGGGUAUCUCCCUAACCCUAACUAUGAAGAAGAUUGAUACUUUAUUAGGGUUGUUGUUAUUGGAAGUGUUAUUACUUAAUUUACUAUUAUUGGAUAAAUGUUGUGGAAUUGAGGGUGAGAUUUUGACGGAGAUUCUUUAAAGCCAUAGGUAAGACUUCUAAUAUCAUGAUUACUCUAUUAUGUUGAUGUUGGUCAAUACUUGAUGUUGUUUAGGGAUGUCAAAUGGGUGGGUUUUGUUAAAAUUGAGAUAUUAAAUGGUUUGAAUUAAAGUCUUGUUGGGUCUUGACCCGUCCAAGUUUAUUUUGGGCUCAAAUGGGUUGAACCUACAUGGGAUACAAAUGGGUUGGGUCUUGACUCGCCUAAUUUGACCCGAUUAAUCUUAAUAUUUAACAAAUUGAUAAUUAACAUUUAUGAUCACAAUUUAAAUUUUAGCUCAAAUAUAUUUUUAUUUUAAAAAAAGAACGAAUGUAUAGAAUAAACACUAAAAGAUGUUAAAAUAGAUAAUAAUUCAUACCUUAAAUAUAGGAGCAUAUCUUAAUAAAAAAUUUGAAAACGGGUUGAGACUGGAGAUUGAAUUGGACUCAAUUGGAGAUUCUCUUCAAAUGAGUUAUGUUUGAACGGGUUUAAAUUGAACACAAUUUAAAUUAUCUUGAGUUCAACCCUUAAAAUUCUGGGCGGAUUGGACAGGUUACUAUGUUUGGGGUCAUUUUUGACACCCCUAAUGUUGUUAUUCAAUUGAAGAGUAAAUGAUGAAGCUAUGCAUGUAUUAUUAGGCUAUGAUUAUGUUGAAUGUGAGAACAUGAUGAAGUAAGGUUAUGGAGGGUCGAAAGGAAUUAUCUUGUGUUUCUUAUUAAUGUGAUUAUGGUAUGAUGUAUUUCUCACAUGAUGAUGGUUUAGUGAUGAAAAAAUAUUCUUAUCCUACACCUAAUGAGUUAUUGACAUGAUUAUACAAGGGGUUAGUCUCUUAUGAGCUCUAUUAAGAUUUGAUGAUUAAGAAAUACUUAAUGGCCUUUCAAAAAGAGAAUUUAGCUUAGCAUCGAGCAAACUAGAUAUGAGAGGUAUCUCUUCCAAAGAGGUAAGGUAGGUUCACUAUGGUUCUCAUGAGAUGGAGACUACAAUGCAAAUGUGCAUAAAAGAAUUGCUAUGAAAUCUCCUUGUUCAUUAACUAUGUUGCCCCCAUAGGAAAACUAGCUAGUGGAUCCACCUAGAAUGUUAUGUUUAUGUUAUGGUUCUACCUUGGCAAGUAGAGCACCUUCUUUCGAUGUAGGGUUUCAUGACACCGGAUUCCAUGUUUAGCUCACAUGGUCUAUUGUCGGUUAAGGCAAAUGCUCCCGAAAGUAAAAUGAAUUAAUGAAAGUAAUAAAUAUGGACACUAACUAGGGUGACUCAAGAAGUACUACUUAGUGUAGGUAAGGGUAUGAUACUUUACCUAUGCAUUGCACGAGUUGCCUUGAGGGGAGUCAUAGGAGGAUGUUCUUAUGAACUUAUGUUAUAAGUGAAGGUAUAAUGUUGGUUCUAUAUAAUGUUCUUAUAUGAUGUUGGUUUCAUUUGAUGAACAUGAUAUUGGUCUAAAUUGCUAUAUAUGAUGAUGACUACACAUGGUGUUAUGUUAUAUGAGGUAAAGGCAUUAAUCUGCUGAUCUCUUUUCUAGUUUACUUGAUUAUGUGGGGUUAUGGGGCUUCACAUGAGCAUUGUUCACUUGUAGGCUUGGGAUGGGAUUGUGAGUGAGGGACUUGUAUGCUUCGAUGAUAUAAACUCUAGAACAUGAAAUGUUAAUAUGAGUUAUGAUGAUAUUAUCCUUAUAUAUAAAUAUGAAAAUUUCUUAUGUUGUUGCGAUCAUUGAUUUGGAUAUGCUCUUAUUUGUUCAUAAAGGCUUUCAAAAAUGACUUAGCAUGUAUUUAAAAGAAAAUUCCCCUUUGUUGCAUAUCUUCAAAUGGUUUAUUUGCAUACAUUCAUACUUAAUACAUGUGGUUUUUACUAACCCAUAUUUUUUUCCAUUUCUACAAAUAUGUAGGUUCGGGCCAUUGAAGAUUUUCAAGGCCAUUUACAAGGAAGAUUUGGAUACUUUUCCCAAGCUGUUGGUGAGUCCUCAAGUCCGAGGAUGAUGCCACUUUUUAGCGUUACUAGUAUAGACUAUGUCUAAGAUAUUGUUUUUUCCUUAUAUUUGAAACUUUGUUGAAAGCCUAUAUGAGGCAUAUUGUACUAGUGUAAGGGAUAUACUCAAAUUUAUUUCUCUAUUAUAUGGUAUAUGUGAGACAAUAAUAGACUAUUUGAUGAUAUUGACUAUGUUGCUAAACGAGAAGUCUACGUAAACUUCAUAUAUGAUAAAUGAGAAGUCUAGUAUAUACUUCAAAUGUAAAAGUUUUAAAUUUUACACAUUUCUCUACCUAUGAUAUGUCAUGAUGUAUGCUAAGACAUAGUCUAAGGACUCUUCGAGGACGAAGAUGCCAGUUACAUCUAGGGGGUGCUCCCCGAUCGUGACAGUUGGUUCUACAAUGCCAUUUUGACUCAUUUUUAAGUCUAUCUUCAAUCAUUGUGAUUGGUAUCAUAACGUCUGUAUUGACAUUGUGAUUUGAUAGUGUGGAAUUUAUUGAAGGUAGUCCAGAAGGAUAAAACUCUAGUUUAGUUUAUUUUGUAGUUUUCCUUGUCGACUUUGUGGUAGCUAGGCUCCAAAUUAUCGAUCUUAUAUUGAACUUGUGUUGGUAAAUUCAUGUUGCUUAGAUAAUUUUGGUCAGGGUUUCUAGCUUGUGUCAUGCUUAGUGGAUAGAACACAUACCUUAUCCUUCUUCUCAAGUAGUUUUUCCAGGAAAUUGAGCAUGUCUACCUCAUUUGUGAUGCUUUAUCAUGCCUUAUUGUAUCUAUAUGUUUGGUUUUAUUUUUUGUUAUUAGUGACUUAUUCUUGGCCUUAGCCUAGGCAUAUGCAAAUGUUUGCUUAGACUUGCUAUUUGGAGUCGUUAUGCCUUAGAAAUACUCCAAUAUUUGUUUGGAAUGCUUAGCCCCUAUAGAUUUGAUAAAAGUGACUUGGGUCUAAUAGUAUGAAUCCUUAUCUAGGAUACAACUCAACUCUUGUAAUUGUCCAUAAAAAAAAUCCCAUAUGUUUUGGCGUUGGUGUUUCUUUUGCAAUUUCGGUCCUUGUUGGCUAUAUUAGANNNNNNNNNNNNNNNNNNNNNNNNNNNNNNNNNNNNNNNNNNNNNNNNNNNNNNNNNNNNNNNNNNNNNNNNNNNNNNNNNNNNNNNNNNNNNNNNNNNNUUUGAUAUAUCAAGAUGAAUUUUGUUUACAAUAGUCAAUAAAAACUUUAUACUCGUUUUCUACUACAAGUCAUUAGCUUCUGUACAUGUGUCUCUCAAGUAUACAUGUCUACUGGUCAACAAUUUUCCUACUACCUAAGAAGGUCAUGAAGAGUAUAAUGACAGUUUGCAACAGGCUAUGCAGGAAACAAAUGAGGAACAUACAAUUCAAAUUGGCCACUGAUGGUUGUCAGGAAAUGGAAUGGCCAUGGUGGAGAGAUACAUGGAAUACAAUGAACGUGCCAAAACACAGUUUUAUAUGCUGGCAGACUAUGCAUAGGAGGCUACUAACAAGAUAUAGACUUGCAAAGAUUGUGCGGGUGUAAACCAGAACAUCUAUGGCGGUUCUCGAAAGAACUAACCUGGAGGGAAUAUGGAGGCGACUAGCAAGGAAAGCCACAGGGAAGAUCAGCAGAGGACUUAUCCGAGCAAUAAUAGCAGCCCUAAUAUAUCAUAUUUGGCAAGCACAAAAUGGAGCAUUGUGGAACAAAGCAGUAGUCAGAUCGAAGGAACUUAUGAAGAAGAUCAGGGAGGAGAGUAAAGGCAAAUUUAUGAGCAGAAUACACAGAGGUAUAAAAUGUAAGGAUAGAAAAUGGAUAGAUAACUUGUUUGUAUAGAUAGGAAAUUUCAUAGAAUAGAUGAGUUGGUUUUUUUUUAAUAAAGCUAUUGGAUGAGGUUACUUCGUUCCUCAACUUUUUGAAUAUCAUUCUCCUUGGAAUUUAGGUUGCAUAAUCGCUAUAAUAGCGGAAAAAACUAUCACAGAAAAUUCCAGUAAAAGGCAACGGAUUUUGAUAACAUUGGAGAGGAAUUCAAGUUGGGAUAAAUUUAAAAUGAUUCACAGCACGAGUUAGGUCAUCUACGAACAGAUACCCAAAGUCUAAAUUGACCUUUGUCGGAACAAGACCUCGCUGCUGCGUUCUUUUAAGUUAUGAAUUAAAGGAACAAACCUAGUUGAAUGAAACAGCAGGGGUGGGGUUACACGUUCCACUGUGCCGACAAACACACACUACAACCAAACUAAAAGCCACCAAAAAACACAAUCUUUUUAAUUCCAAUUCAAUGAUACUGAACAGAAUAAUUCCAAUUCAAAACCAGACAUAAAGGUCCUAAGAGUAAAACAUACUGCAGAAACCAUAAAAUAUAAUGAGGGCUAGGGAAAGUCCCCAAAAUUGCAUUUGUCUCUCUAAAACAAGUACUGAUAGCGAACCACAAACACUAUUCCGUUCUCAGCGGAAACCCACCUUAGAGAUUGAACGCCAAUAAGAUAAAUUAAAGGAACAGAAACUAAUAGACCCCAUAGAUCUUCCUUGUCUGUUUGAAUUAGUAUCUCUCAUUCUUCCGAUAAGCAGUCGAAGGGAACGAAUAAUAAUUCUUUACCCACAUAUGCUCAACACUCCCGGCUGAAAAAUUACAAAGACAAAACUAGUAAAUAUUUUACAACAUAUUUCUCUAUGAUAAAAAAAUAAUAAUUAAAAAAAAGAGAUCAAUAUGUUACCCUUUUCAGUUUAUGCACCGGUCAUUCCUCUGCAGUGCCAUAGCAAUAGAUUUACCUUUUUCAUUCUGCACAGUGAAAUAAGACAGGAGAUCAAUAUGAUGUGAUUGUAGAUUGAUCAAAUGACGAGUCUUGUAGUUUGACAGCAGUACAAUGAGUAAUAAAGUCAAUGUGUUACCGAAUGUUUUGAACUUGCAUAUGAGACAAGUCUUCAACUAAAUAUGAUAUUGAGAUGUUAGACAUGUUUGUUAUUAAUUGACAUAUGAUUACCAAUUUACCAUAAGGAUAAGUACAAAUGGGAGUAAACCUUGAUGGAUCCAGUAGUUAACAACGUGUUCGUCAGACUUUGUUCACAGUGCAAAAAUAACAUACUUUCAUAAGUUAAAUACUUUCAUAACAUAUUUCGCUAUGAUAAAAGAAGAGGAAGAGAUAUAUGACAAACAACCUCGGAUGCCUUGGUUGAGGGAGCAUUACGAACAUGAACCAACAUUUCCUUUUCAGUAUUAAUAGCUUUAUCCUGUUCUUUCUGCACACCAAAAUAAGACAAUAUAAGUUGUAAGCAUAUUUUUUGAAAAUUAGUUUUCACAUUAUACAUUCGCAAUUUAUUGUAUAAUAUUGAUUUUUAAUAUUAAACCAUCUUAAAUAGAAAUGACAAUAGAGGAAAACCUACAAGAUUUAGAGCCAUGAGUAAUAAAUGAAAUCGGCAAUGAGACUUCCAAAGGAAUUUUACGACCACACAAUCCUAGUCGAGGUAGGGCAAAAGCUUGGUAAGUUAAUAUAGACAGUAGAAAUAGCAGAAGAAAAGUAUAAUUCGGGAAGCCUUUUGCUAGUCCCAAAUCAUUAAACUAGAAAACAUAACUUGUUUAUGGAAGAAUACUCUUUUAUUUGAGAUAUGGUUACAAAUUUACCAUAAGGAUAAGUAUAAAUGGGAGUAAAUCUUGAUGGAUCCAGUAGUUAACAACAUGUUCUUUCGACUUUGAUCAUCGUGUGUCUAGAGAUUACUGAUAAAUCCCUCACUAAUGGAAAGGUUGAAAUGGCAUACUUUCAGAAGAUUAAAUACUUUCAUAACAUAUUUCUCUAUGAUAAAAAAAAAGAGAGAAGAGAUAUAUGAAAAACAACCUCGGAUGCCUUAGUUGAGGGAGCAUUACGAAGAUGAACCGGUAUUUCCUCUUCAAUGCUAAUAGCUUUAUCCUGUUCUUUCUACACAGUGAAAUAAGACAAUAUAAGUAGUAAGCAUAUUUUAUGAAAAUUAGUUUUCAAAACAUUCGCAAGUUAUUACAUAAUUUUGAUUUUCAAUAUUAAACUAUCUUAAAUAGAAAUGAUAGUGGAGGAAAACCAACAAGAUUUAGAGCCAUGAGUAAUAAAUGAAAUCUGCAAUGAUGAUUAGACUUCGAGAGCUACAAAUUGAAUUUUACGACCACACAAUCCUAGCCGAGGUAGGGGGAAAACUUGGUAGGUUAUUAAAGACAGUAGAGAAUAGCAGAAGAAAAGUACAAUUCGGGAAGCCUUUUGUUAGCCCCAAAUCGUUAACCUAGAAAACAUAACUUGCUUAUGAAAGAAGACACUUUUAUUUGAGUUGUUCUUUGGUGUUUUUUUUUUACAAAAGUACAAUAUCAUCCCAUAUUUAUACUAAACUAUGGAUGGUUCUACAUACUACAAAAUCUAGACUAUUCCAUGAUUUUCUAUAAAUAUAUAAUUACUCUAGAUAUUUCUACAAGAUAUUUAUUUAAGAGACUACACUAGAUUAUUCUAGAAACUUCCCUAAUAAUCUAGGAUUUUUGUAAUUCCAAAAAAGCAUCUUUAUUUUCACACUCCCCCUUAAAGUGAUUUUUUGGAAACUAUCCCACACUUGUCGUGGAAGAGAUCAAAUGAAGCUUUGAGCUACGUCUAGGUAAAAAUUCUCAACAAUUUCUUCCAGACUCCUCUUCCUUCUCCAAAUGAUAAAGAUUUUUCAUUGUAAGUUGAUCCACAUAGAUUAUCUCUGUAUUGAGUUCUCAAACUUUUUCUUAAACUUAGUUUUCUUGCAGUUGCACUAUUUGGAGAUGAAUCUUAGAUGAAAAAGUUUGAAACUGUGAUGCUCAAAAUUUUAGAAAAUGUUUCUUUUGAUGCAAUUCAAUAUAUUGAGGGAUUUCAUUAUUAAUAACCUCUUCAUCUCAAUCGGUGAUGAUAUUUUCAUCUAUUUCUUGUGAAGCCUUGGCACCAUUGUAGGAUACACCAUCAAAUUUGCUUAUGUGCUCGUCAAUUACCCACUUAUCAUCUUUUGAGCUUUGGAAGAUUAUAUCGUCUAUCGCUUGACCUGAAAUUUGGUCUUCAGGGUCGGCUUCUCCAUAUAUUUGAUCAACAUUUUCUCCAUUUGCGUCCAAUAUUUGAUCUGAGUCAAUGACUGGCCUGAUAUAGCUAAGGAUUGAUCAAAGACAUCAACUUCCCAUAUAUCUUUGUCAAUACUUUCUCCAUAAAGAUCACCAUUGGUAUAUAUAGCUCCAGGCGUUGCUUGUUCUGAAUUUACUUACUUUAUUUCUUCGAUGGAAGCUACCAUAUCACCUGUAUACACAUCUUCAAGAGUUUCUUGAUUCAUAUCGAUUACAUCAGUGUCUUGCUUCUCCACAUGGUCAACUGCAUUAUAUUCUGGAUCCUCGAUCCAAUCUCUUUCAAGGUUGAUCGAACCCAUAGUUGCUCGAGCCUCAACUACACUAAAAACUUUCCCCAUUCUUCUUCUUUUUCAACAACUUUUUUAGCCAUAUGGAUCGUCUAUAUCUUCUUAUGUGCCUAGCUUCGCCGCAACGAUAACAUCUGAAAGGCUUCUUACAAUAAUACUUAGAAGGCUCUUCCUUCUCUCUAGGUGAGUGUGAACCACCUAAGGAUCGAGAGUGUGAUACAUCUCUCAUUUUUCCUUUAUUUUUUAUCUUGUCGGCUAUAAAAGCAUCUCAUUCUCCAUCUUUGAAAAACACACUAUCGAACUUCUUGGCUAGUGAUUCCUGUGACGAUAACAAAUUUUCAAAUUCCUUCAAGGAUAAAUGUUAAUUCCAUCCUUGAAUUAACGUCACAAAUAAAAUAUAUUCAGAUUUCAAUGUACUAAGGAUUAUACUUCUUAUUUGUGCUUCAGAAAUAGCCUCCUCCAAAUUCAAUAAAUAUAUCUACGACAUAAGUUCUUAAUCUUUAAAAAUACCGGACAUAGAAAGAUUACCUUCAGUGGUGUUAGCUAAUUCAUUCUUUACUAUCUAUAGUCGAGCUUUAUUUUCCUUUAUGAACAAUCGAUCGAGGGUCCUCCAUAUUUCAUGAGUUGAUUUUUACUUUAUAAUGUGAUAAAAAUAAAUCGGAGAAGAUUGUCCUCUUUAGAAUGAACUCCGCCUUCGCAUCAACCUGCUUCCACUUCUUGUAUAUGCUACUAUUUCCCGGUCCUUCAGCAGGAGAAAUUGUGUUACUCUCAUUCACAACAUCCCACAAAUCCUUGCCCACAAGGUAUGAUUUUAUAUAUUUUUUCAUGCCUUGUAAUUGGACUGAUCCAACAGCUCCAUCCCCAAUCCAUUAUACUAACAUGACCGCUAGAAUCCAUAUGGACAACCCAGAUGAAUCUACCUAACCCGAUCUUGAAUAAAAUCCAAAAUUUAAAAAAUGAUUAUGGCUCUGAUACCAUGUAGAGAAUAGCAAAAGAAAAAUAUAAUUCGGAAAGUCUUUUACUAGCCCAGGAUCGUUAACUAAUAUCAGAAGAUUCAACUAAGGAACAGGAAGCUAGAAAAGAGAACUUGUUUAUAAAAGAAACUCUUUUAUUUGAGUUUUUCUUGGGCUUGUUUUUAAAAAUAUACCCAUAUUUAUACUAACCUAUGGAUGGUUAUAUAUACUACAAAAUUUAGAAUAUUCCAUGAUUCUCUAUACAUAUCUAAUUUCUCAAGAAUAUCUACAAGAAAAGUCUUGUAACAUUAACUUCUACUCUAGAUUAUCUACUUAUUUAUACAAGAUACUUAUCCAAGUGACUACACUAAAUUAUUCAAGAAACUUCCCUAAAAGUCUAGGAUUUUUGUAGUUCCAAAAAAUCAUUUUUAUUUUUCACAGAUAUAUGUACAGUUGAGACACUGUGAGGAUGUUAUGCCCAUAUAUGUGUGGAGGUGCCUAUUGGUGUGUGUGAAAAAACAUACAUACUUGACAGUGCAUAAAAGAACAAUUAUUUGCGAGGGUUAGAUAAACUAUGCACUAGAUGUGGAGUUCUAGGAAGCACUAUACAAAGUUGCUCAAUCCAUAUAUUAAACACUAAAACUCUGACUUGGUGCUGGUGUCAGCUCUAACAUCGAAAGAAAUGGUGGUGACCAUAAUAAUGAAGAAAGCAACACUAACAUGCCUAAGAAGAAGGAACUUGAAGCUAAGUACAAGAAGAAUGGAAAAUGUAAAAUUUGGAAAAGGAAAAAAAGUCAUAUCAAGCAAGUAACACCUUAUGAUUAAGUAAGAACAUAAUCGUCACUAGUUAUGUUCAUCGUUUAAAACAUUCUUUUACCAACUAAUAGUCAUAUAUGACUUGAUAGGACUGACAAUUUGGUCACCAGGUCAUUCGUUUGGUUAUUAUGUGUGUUUUCGUGUUUUGAUGCUUUUGAAACUUGAGGAGUUGACUUUCGGUAAAAUUUUUAGGUAAAUGGACUCGAAAUGCAUUUCUAACGAUUCUAUUAGCUCUAGAACGUCAAGUUUGGUCCAAAAGGACCUUUCGUGUAGUCCCCGAGGCUUCAUGGCUCAUUUCAAGCUACCUUAUGGGUUUUGGCUUUAAAUGGAGCUUAGGUGUGGGAGACUACCAUUUUUGGAAGUUUUGACAAUUCUGUUGAGUAUUAAAUGUCGAAUUUUGUAAGGUAACAUAGUUCGUUGCGUGCACGUGGUUUCUAAUGAAUUUUGAGCCCCCUUAUGGCACUUCGCCAAAUCCAACAUGAGUUGGUUAAGCCUUUGCUAGUGCACCAUGCAUUUGUUCUUCGAGUUCACGGUCCUAGAGUUGCAUUCACAGAGGCCAAGGAAUUGGUCACAUCAUUGGUAGAGUGUUAGGCUUCUCACCCUUUGUCGUUCACGAACUAGGUCCUGCGUAGGUAGAGAAGGGUCAGAGUUGUCUUGGUCAGUGACACCGCAUUGAGUCAAUGAGGCCCCUGGUCGUGGAGGUCAUUUAACUGGCCUACUUUAUUUUGAUUAGCAUGAACUUCAUAAUCAUUUUCUAACAAUCUGUAGUUAAUUUAUGAUCAUUCUAGCUUCGCUUGAGCUGAUUUUUAUUGCGAAGUGCUGAAAAUUUUUGGGGCUUCGAGAUAAGACCAUUUGUUUUGUGUUGGGGACUCAUCUAGGAGGUUAAUACUUGUCCUAAACCUCCCUUCUUAGACUUAUAUGGUUAUUUGUGAUUCUUUUUGUUGCAUGAGCUGUUUUGUCUCUUUUUGGAGAUCGGAUUGUUCCCUUUUUGGGGUUCAAGCUCCUUGAAUGGGACUAAUUGACGGAGUCAAUUUUGGGAUCUCCCACUAAUUAAUUUGGAGGAAAAGUGGAUAAAAAAUUCAUAUGGUGAAAAAAAUGAUAAUGUGUACAAACUUUUUUAAAUCUCUUAAUUUUGUAAUUAUAUUUUCAAAAUAUAAAUGUUUAUUAACCAUAUGUAGGUAUAUUAAAAAAAACUACAUCAAGGUCCAAAUAUGGAAAAUCAUAGUGGUGUUGGAACGAUGUAUCCUCUACAGUAACACCUUCAUAAUUAUUUUACUACAUAGUAAAAUCAGACAUCAAAAAUUGUUAGCUAUUUAUUGACAAAUAUUGCACUAAGAAUUCAUAAGUUAUUAUAUAAUUUUGAGUUUCAUUAUUGAAAUAUUUUAUACAACACGAAUUAAACAUUUUGAUAAUGAAGAUUGAUCAUUUGUGUUACGCAAAAAUAUAAAAAAUAAUUUAAUUCAAAAUUAACCAACCAAAUUAUUUGAAAACACUUUCGGCUAAAAAUAUACAACUAUAUCCACUAAUUAUGUAGUGGAGGGAAAGUGGAAAAAGGGACAAAUAGUGAAGAGUAAAAUAAUAGUGUGUACAAGCUUACUUAAUUUCCUUACUCGGAAAUAUAUUUGCUCAAAUAAUGCAGCUCGGUCCCCUAAUAAUGGUAGAUAUAUUAGCCGUUGGUACCAUAGAUGGAUCUCGAAUAUCCCUCCCUUAAGAAAAAACGUUCAAGGUCCCCUUACAUUGAAAUAUGAAAAUGCUACUAUUUCUUCUAUUUGGGAUCACGUCCCUCAAAAUAUCAUGGAAAAAGUAAAAUUAUUAGAUUAGGCCUUGAUCCUUUGAACAACGACAAGCACUACUGGAAGGGCAACCUAAAUAGUUUGUUCACCACCAAAUCCGUCCUCCAUAUUAUGAAACAAUCCCUUCCCAACCCAUUUCAUCAUAGCUGGAUUUGGAAGCAAAAAAUUCCAAACAAAGUCAAAAUUUUCCUUUGGUUGUGAGUGACUUCCUGCCAACCCUACUUGCACCAGUUUUGUAUUGUCCCAGAAUCCAUUUGCACUAUUUGUAAACGAGAGGAUGAAACUAUAUCCCACAUCUUCCUCCAUUUUUAAAUAGCUAAAAAAUUCUAGUUUGAUCUAGGUAUCCCCCACCCCACAUAUCUCCCCAUACCCAUUGGCUCGAUUCAUUGAAAUAAAAGCUCUUCUCGAUGGUUUAAAAUUAGUUGUUGAUUGUUCCAUUGUCCCUAUUGAUAUUAAGCUAGACUCCGUUGAGGCAAUAAAAGCAUUAGAAAAUUGUCAACCUAUUUAUACAAAAAAAAUAGUCUUUGCAGGUUUCUUAUGAAGAGGUUAGGGAAUCCACCAAGUCAGACAUAGCUUCCGAUAAGCAAACAAGGUAGUAGACUUUUUGUCAUGACUAGGUAUCAAGCUAACACCGUCUUGUCUAGGAUGAUCAACAAGGGACGGUAUCUACUAAUCAAGUUUUAAGGAUCACUUGUAAUAAGCUAGCAAGUUUUGGUGAACUAGCUGUAAUGGUCAACUAUGGCAACAAUGUAGAGCCAGAGAUGCCUCAAAACCUGGUAACUCCCUAGUUUAUAUAUAAUAUAUAUAACCUUUCCAUCCAAAAAAAAUCUCAACUCUGUAAGUAUAUUUUUAGAAUAUAAUAUUCUAUGACCAGUCAUAGACAUAUUAAAAACUAUCAAAGCUUCUAAAUUUGUAAGAACACUAUGUAUGUAGAAAGAACAUUUUUUCAUAUAUAAUAAUAUACCUGCAUACUUUUCUUUCCAUAUAGUGAAAUAAUGACACCAAAAGUUGUAAGUACAUUUUAUGACAAAUAUUUUUUCAUUAUUUUUUUUGCCAAUUAUGAUAAAUAUUGAUCUUCAAUUUCACAUUAUCAUAUUCAACACAUAUUUAACUACUCAUAUAACAAAAGUAUAUCAUUUAUAUACGACAAAAACAUAAGAAAAAAAUUAAAUAAACAAUAGGUAGAUAAGAAGUCACCUCAAGUGUUGUGUUUGGGGGAUCAUUACGAAGUUGGAGCAAUCCUUUCUUUGUAGUAAGACCUUCAUGAUUAGCUUGCUACACAUGAUUGAAAUAAAACAUCGAAAGUUACAAAAAUAUUUAUUGACAAUUAUUUGCAUUAUGGAAUUAUCUUGUACAACAUAAGUUUAAAUUUUCAUAUAACAAAAGUCUAUUAUUUCCGUUCUACAAAAAUUUAAGAAGUGGGUAAAAAGAAAUUGAUAGUGUAAACAUCAUUCGUACGAUGUAGGGCUUCUCACGCUUUGUCGUUCACGAACCAGUUGGUCCUGCGUUCUCAGAGAAGGGUUAGAGUUGUCCUGGCCAGUGCCACCACAAUCGCGUCUAUGAGGCCCGCCCCAGUUCGUCGAGGUCAUUUAACUAGCCUACUAUAUUGUGAUUAACAUGAAUUUCAUAUCAUUAUAUAACUUUGUAAAGUUAAUUUCUCAUCAUUCUAGCUUCGCCGGAGCUAAUUUUUAUUGGUAAGUGCUAAAAAAUUUUGGGGCUUCGAGAUAGGACCAUUUGUUUUGUGUUUGGGACUCGUCUAGGAGGUUAAUACUUGUCCAAAACCUCCCUUAUUAGACUUAUAUGGUUAUUUGUGAUAUUUAUUGUUGCAUGAGCUGUUUUGGGUCGUUUUGGAGAUUAGAUUGUUUCCCUUUUUGGGGUUCAAGCUCCUUGAGCUUAAUGGGACUAAUUGACAGAGUCAAUUUAGGGAUUUCCCACAUUGGUGUAAUACUUUGGAAGUUUCAUGACUUAGACUUGAUCCUCACCUAUUUAAAAAGGGUUUAAAUGACAUUUUUAAACCUAUACUAAUGUAGUAAAUUUUAUUUAGGAGUAUUAGAGCCUAAAUAUCAAGGGACGACCACGACGUUCGAAAACUAGAUCAAUUGAACUAGAAAACAUCUUUAGGUCUUGUUAAGGUUUGGGAGUGUUUUAUUAAGUUUAAAACUUGUAAAAAUAUUUUAAAUAAGUAAAAUAAUAUUUAUAGGGUCAAAACAUCUAGGUCCGACCCCCUAAGGACCACCCUAGGGGUCCUUGAAGGGACCCCACCAUUAGCCAAACAAGCUGCCCAAGACAGCAAGCAAUUGCACUAUCAUGAAACCAAUCUGCGUCACGGACAUGGUUUACGAAGGUCCAAAAAUAUUGGUCCACGUAGAGGACUCUACUGUCUCAAAAAUUAAUUUCAGAAAUCCUGCGAGAAAAGCUCCACGACGCGGACUUAUUUCUCGACGAAAAAUCUAAAAUUCGAAUUCAAGUUUGACUUCACAAAAAGGUCAAAUUAAGUGAGGGAUAUUUUAGGGGAGGGGGGGGGUUAUAUAUUGAUUUUAAAUCAAUUUUAUGUCACAUUUACCCACUCAAAUCAAAUUUCAAAUCAAAACCCAAAGGCUCUCACCUCUUUCUAUUUUCUCUCUCUACCUAACCUGCAUUGAAAAAGCAUUGAAGCUUGAACAAGAAGACCAAAUACCUCAAGUUUUAUACUCAAAUUUAUGACUGAAGCCUUCAUAAGUUAUGGAUGCUUUCACUCUUGGGUCAUUUCCCGUGAGGUCUAUUCAAAGUUAAUUUCUAAAUCACCCAACUUCAAGGGUUUUUCUCUACAAAUGGGUUUCCUUCUAAACUUGAAAAUGAUGAUUAAUUAUGAAAAAUGGUGAUUACUUAGGCUAAUUAAGUGCAUAUUGUUGAGUAAUUGAUGUUGAUGAUGUGAGAUUUCGUGUGAUCCAUAUUCCUUCCCUAAUUUCCCCAAAUCUUGGAUCUUGCUUAUGAAUUGAUUUAAAGUAAUGAGUGUAUUGAUUGUUAGACUUGUGUUAACUAUGUUAUUUCAUUCAUGGACUGUCUACUUUCAUGUAUUUGUUGGAUUGAAUCUAUUUUUUGAUGAAUUCAUGUGUAUACCCUAACCCUAACUAUGAAGAAGAUUGAUACUUGAUUAGAGUUGUUGUAAUUGGAAGUGUUAUUACUUAAUUUACGAUUAUUGGAUAAAUGUUGUGGAAUUGAGGGUGAGAUUUUGAAGCCAUAGGUAAUACUUCUAAGAUCAUAAUUUUGAGAUAUUAAAAUGGGUUGAAUAAAAGUUGGGUUGGGUCUUGACCCGUCCAAGUUUAUUUUGGGCUCAAAUUGGUUGGACCUUUAUGGGAUAAAAAUGGGUUGGGUCUUGACUCACCUAAUUUGACCCGAUUAAUCUUAUGUUGUUGCGAUCAUUGAUUUGUAUAUGCUCUUAUUUGUACAUAAAUGCUUUCAAAAUUACUUAGCAUGUCGUUAAAGAAAAGUCCCUUUUGUGCAUAUCUUCAAAUGGUUUAUUUGCAUAUAUUUAUACUUAAUACAUGUGGUUUUUACUAACCCAUAUUUCUUCCAUUUCUACAAAUAUGUAGGUUUGGGCCAUUGAAGAAUUUUCAAGGCCGUUUGCAAGGAAGACUUGGAUACUUUUCCCAAGUUGUUGGUGAAUCCUCAAGUCCGAGGAUGAUGCCACUUUUCUAGCCUUACUAGUAUAGACUAUAUCUAAGAUACUUGUUUUUUCCUUAUAUUUAAAGCAUUGUUCAAAGCCUAGAUGAGGCAUAUUGCACUAGUGUAAGGGAUAUACUCAAAUUUAAUCUCUAUUAUAUGGUAUAUGUGAGACAAUAAUAGACUAUUUUGAUGAUAUUGACUAUGUUGCUAAACGAGAAGUCUAUGUAAACUUCAUAUAUGAUAAAUGAGAAGUCUAGGUAUACUUCAAAUGUAAAAGAUCUAAAUUUUAUACAUUUUCUCUACCUAUGAUAUGCCAUGAUGUAUGCUAAGAGAUAGUCUAACGACUCGUCGAGGACGCAGACGCUAGUUACAUCUAGGGGGUGCUCCCCGAUCGUGAUAGUGGGUUCCACAAUGCCAUUUUGACUCAUUUUUAGCCUAUCUUCAAUUAUUGUGAUUUAGGUAUCAAAACGUCUGUAUUGACAUUUUGAUCAUUUAUUUGAAAGUGUGGAAUUGAUUGAAGGUAGUUCAGAAGGACAAAACUCUAGUUUAGUUUAUUUUGUAGUUCGACCAGUCGACUUUGUGGUAGCUAGGUUCAAAAUUAUCGAUCUUAUAUUGAACUUGUGUUGGUAAAUUCAUGUUGCUUAGAUAGUUUUGGUCAGGGUUUCUAGAUUGUAUCAUGCUUAAUGGAUAGAACACAUGCCUUAUCCUUCUUCUCUAGUAGUUUUUCCAGGAAAUUGAGCAUGUCUACCUCAUUUGUGUUGUUUUAUCAUGACUUAUGGUAUCUAUAUGUUUGGUGUAUUGUCGGUUAUCGGUGACUUAUUCUUGGACUUAGCCUAGGCAUAUGCAAAUGUUUGCCUUAGACUUGCUAUUUGAAGUCGUUAUGCCUUAAAAAUACUCCAAUAUUGGUUUGGAAUGCUUAGCCCCCUAUAGAUUGAUAUAACUGAAUUGGGUCUAAUAGUAUGAAUCCUUAUCUAGGAUACAACUCAAAUCUUGUAAUUGUCCACCAAUAACUUCCCAUAUGUUUUGGCGUUGGUGUUUCUUUUGCAAUUUUGGUCCUUGUUGGUUAUAGUAGACGGGCCUUGGAUUUUGAGUGUGAGUGGGUCCCUUGUGACUUUGAAGGUGGUUUCAUUUUAUGGUACAUUCCAUCAUGAAGAGGAGCAUGUGAUUUGGAGACAUUCAGAUUCUUUUAGUAGUUGUUUGAGACGCUGACACAUCUCUAUUAGUUGCAGUUCGAGUCCCUGACAUAUCUCUCCUAGGAUCGAUUCGAGUCCUGACAUGGUGUCUUUAUAUAUUGGGUUCUUUGAGGUGCCUUCGCCACGGUUCGAGUUCGGGGUCGUCCAUUUCAAUUAUGGAAUACAUUAAUCUUAGUUAGCAUUGUCUCUAGAUUUUCUGUGUACUCAUAGGGUUUAUGGGGUCAGUCUGGGUUAUUUACUUUCAAAUUAUGCACUAGUGUACCUUAUAGGUCUAUAAGGUCCAAUUCAGUUUUAUAUAGUUGUUUUACCCUACUACUUCGUUCUUUCUAGAUUUGUGAGCUCAAUAGUUAGUCUUUCUGUUAUUUCUUCGUUCAUAUCUGACCUCUUGUCAUUGUCUACUUCCUCGCUUUUCAUAUUGUAUUUACUUUCAAAGCUCAGUAGGCCGAUGAUUCCUAUUAAGUUCUUGUUAUUUUGAUUCUCAUCCUACACUCAACUUUUUUUUCUUUAUGAAGAUUCGAGCGCCAACCGACAAUGGUAAUUCGAGCCUUUGUGGAGAUCAUCGGAGAUUAAGGGCGAUUUGAUGGCGUCCUAGUUAGACUUAUCUCUAUCUGUAUAUAAUUUUGACUAGCGUUUUGUAUUUUAGACAAGUCUGUACUUUUUGGUCUACUUUUGAGACUUUUACUCUUGUAGAAGCUUCAUACUUUCGUCGACCAGAUCGUGGGAUUUGAUCAUACACUUUGUAUGUCUGUCUGUCUGUCUCUCUCUCUCUCUCUCUCUCUCUCUAUCUAUCUAUCUAUCUAUCUAUCUAUCUAUCUAUCUAUCUAUCUAUCUAUAUAUAUAUAUAUAUAUAUAUAUAUAUAUAUAUAUAUUGAUAAAUGGAUACCCAACCCUAAGACCAUUAGGGAACAAAUACAUGGUCCCCUAACUCUUGAUGAAGAUGAAGCUAACUCCAUCACCAACCUAAUUUACUGCAACUAUAUAGCUCAGGACCCCUCAAUAGAAUUAGUGUGAAAAAAACAUAACAGACAAAGUAAAUAAAAAUUAACCAACCAAAUUAUUUGGAAAUUCUUUUACCUCAAAAUAAAUGACCAUCUCCACUAAUCAACUAUGAGAUUAACAGGGAGAAGAAAAUUAAUGUAAUGCUCAAUGAUAAAACAUAUGUAUGUGAGAAAUUACCUUGGGCUCUAAAUCUGUGUCAUCAUAGCAAAGUAGGAAGUCAUCCUGAGUAGACAUCAAAAGUUGAAAAAAUAUUGGUUGAAGAUUAUUUUCACAAGCGAUGUUAGAGUUUUGAAUCUCAUAAUUAAAUUAUCUUAUACAAUACAAAUUUAUUAUUUCAUACAUGUUUAUCUUUUCCUACAAUACAAAUAGAUUAAUAAAUUCAACAACUUUAUCAAAAAUUAAUAAGCUAAAUUGAAUCCUUUCGUUUCUAAAUAUAAAAUCUUCUUCACUCAUUAACAAGAAAAAGAAGGAAAAAUGCUUAAAAGGAAUAUCAAAUGAUGAGAAAAUAGUAUUAUAUAUAAACUUAUUUUAUUCGUUCAAACUCUAAAAAGUACACUUUUUAAAUAUAUAAUGAUCAAUGAUUUAACGAACAAAUGUAUAUGAGAAACUACCUGAAUAAAGGUUGAUCAAUUCUGUUAUGCAAAAAUAUAAGAAAUAACUUAAUUAAAAAAUAAACCAAUCAAAUUAUUUGAAAACUCUUUAGGCUCAAAUAUACAACUAUAUCCACUUAUUAUCUAGUUAAGGGAAAGUGGAAAAAAGGACAAAAUAGUGAAGAUUAAACUAACAGUGUGUACGAGCUUACUUAAUUUUCUUACUCUGAAAUCUAUUUGUUCAAAUAAUAUAGCUUGAUCCCCAAAUAAUGGUAGAUCUAUUAGCCUUUGGUACCAUAUAUGGAUCUCGGACAGUUCAAGGUCUCCUUAUAUUGAAAGAUGAAAAUGCUACUAUUUCUUCUAUUUGGGACAAUUCUAACUCUGAGUGGAACUGGAACACUCUUUAACCUUCACAUCCCUCAGAAUAUCAUGGAAAAAAUAAAAUUCAUUAGAUUAGACCAUGAUCCUUUGCACAAAGACUAGCACUACUGGAUGGGCAACCCAAAUGGUUUAUUCACCAUCAAAUCCGUCCUCCAUAUUCCGAAAUAACCCCCUCCCAAUCCAUUUCAUCAUAGCUGGAUUUGGAAGAAAAAUUUCAAACAAAAUCAAUUUUUCCUUUGGUUGUACGCACAUCAUAGAUUUCCUACCAACCCCUACUUGCACCACUUUGGCAUUGUCCAAGAAUCCAUUUGCAUAUUCUAUAAACAAGAGGAUGAAACCAUAUCUCACCCACCCUACAUCUCUCCCCAUACCCAUUCGCUCAACUCAUUGAAAGAUCUUAAGUUGCCGCAACAUAACAACCAAUCCAACUAGUCGGAUUUUUUCCCUUUCGUCAUUUUGAGUUUAUGGAAAAACAAAAACCAUAAUAUUUUCAACAACAAAAACGCAUCCAUACCGUCUACCCUGGUGAAUAAUAAAAUGACAUUAUACUCAUCAGGCGCAAGAUCCUGAAUCAUCCGACUAGUUCCCCCCACCCCCACCCCAGGUAGGAUCUUUCAAACUUAAGACGACUCCUUUUCAAAGUUUGUAAUAAGGGUGGUACUUGGAGGAGUUAUCAGGGAUCACAGUGAAAAUUGGUGAUGAGUGUUUACCGUAACAUCACUACCCAAAGAUUCACUGAAAUAAAAGCUCUAGUCGAUGGUUUAAAAUUAGUUGUUGAUUUUUAUAGUCCCUAUAGAAAUUGAGCUAGACUCAAUUGAGGCAAUAGAAGCACUAGAAAAUUCUCAACCUAUUUAUAUGACAAAAAAUAAUCAUUCAAGGUUGCUUAUGAAGAGGUUGGGGAAUCCACCAAUCAGACAUAGCUUCCGAAAAGCAAACAAGGUAGCAGACUUUUUGUCAGGACCAGGUACCAAGCUAUCACCGUCCGAUCAAGCUACUAUAUUAUCUGCUCCUCCUUAUGAUACUAUGUCUCUAGUCAAGGAUGAUCAACAAAGGGCAAUAUCUACUAAACUAGUUUUAAGGACCACUUGCAAUAAGUUAGCAGGUUUUGGUAAUCUAACAGUAUUAGCCAACUAUGGCAACAAUGCAGAGAAAGAGAUGCCUAAAAACCUGGUAACUCUAUAAGUAUAUUUUUAGAAUAUAAUAUUCUAUGACUAAACAUAGACAUAUAAAACUAUCAAAGCUUGUAAAUUUGUAAGAACACUAGUAUGGAGAAAGAACAUUUUUUAAUAUAUAAUAACACUUGCUUAAUUUUUUUCUCCAUAUAGUGAAAUAAUGACACCAAAAGUUGUAAGUACAGUUUAUGACAAAUAUUUUCACACUAUUUGUUUGCAAAUUAUGAUAAAUAUUGAUCUUAAAUUUUAGAUUAUCUUAUUCAACACAUAUUUAACUACUCAUAUAACAAAAGUAGAUCAUUUAUAUACGACAAAAACAUAAGAAAAAAUUAAAUAAACAAUAGGUAAAUAAGAAGUCACCUCAAGUGUUGUGUUUGGGGGAUCAUUACGAAGUUGGAGCAAUCCUUCCUUUGUUGUAAGACCUUCAUGAUUAGCUUGCUAUACAUGAUUGAAAUAAAAGAAAAAAAGUUAUAAAAAUAUUUGUUGACAAUUAUUUGCACUAUGGGUUGACAAGUUAUGAUAUGAUUUUGAAUUGCACUAUGGAAAUAUCUUGGACAACAUAAGUUUAAAUUUUAAUUUCAUAUAACAAAAAUCUAUCAUUUCCAUUCUACAAAAAUUUAAGAAAAAAUCCAAUUGAUAACUUAUUUGUCCAACUACUUGGGAAGCCUUUCAAAUCGAAGGUAAAUCAUCAUCACUAAUUGACUGGGGAAAUGCAGUGGGUGAAAAUAAACUGAUAGUGUAUACAAACCUUUUUUUUCAAUUAAGUUUAUAAUUAUAAUUUCAUAAUAUAAUAUUUGAUGAUUAAUAAAUUAGAUCAAGUACUGAAGGUUAGUUACAAAAUGAAGUAGGAAGAGAAGGCGCACGAAAAUAGAGUUUGAAUCUGCACAGGGUCCAAUAAAAGAUAAUUGCUUUUGAAGACACUGAAUAUUGUAGCUUUUUCAACAAAAGGCAAGAAGUGGUAGAGGGAGCACACAAGAAAGAAGAACUAGAGUUAGGUUUUCAUUUUUAGUAGGUUUAUUGUUUGUGUGACUUGAAAUUGUUAUUGAGUUGUAAUAGUUCUAUGUUUGAAAAUGAGUUGGUGAGAGUUGUAACUAUAAGCCGUUAUGAGUUAUGACUUCUUGGAGACGAGAUAACAAUUAGAUUUAAUCGUUGGAGUUGAAGUACUGGACCUAUUCUUUUAGAUUAUAGAGUUGUAAUCUAAAUCACUCUAUGAAGUUAGUGAGAAGAUGCUGAAAAUUCUACACCUGUUAGGUUGUGGUUUUUCUUCCUUGAAUAAGAAGGUUUUCAAUAAUAAAUGUUUACAUGAUUCAAUUAAAGUAUUACAAGUACCAAAUUCAUGUAUCAAAUAGGUGGUACAGUUCAAUUGGUAUUAGAGUAGGUCUGUCAUUCAAAAAAAUAAAAUUUGAAAAUGAUCAAUAGUUGCGCCACCUACUGCUCAAGGAGCGUCACAAACAAGACCAUCACUAUUAAAUGGAAAGUACUAUGGAUAUAUGGUGGAUAAUAGAAUAAUGGAUAAUCUGAUAGGAGAAAAUCCAAAUCUCUUUAGUGUUAUUCUAGACGGUCCUACCAUUCCAGACAUGUACACCAUAAUUCACUCAACUCUGGUAUUGUACUUUCAAAAAAAUAAUGCUUUGUGAUCUAACACACAAAAUGUAUAUAAGAAACUACCUCGAGUUCAUGAUCCAAGAAAAGACUAUUGAGUAAUGACCAAUCUUCUGCAGUAAAACUUUCAUGAUCUCCUGACUGCAUAGUAAAAUAAGAAAUCGAAUUUGUAAGUAUUUUUUAUUAAAAAAAAUAUUAUUUUGAAUUUCAUUAAUUUUUUUUUGUGUGUGUGUAACAAAAUGAUAGUGCGUAUAAAUUUUCUCAAUUUUCUUUACUUUAUAGCAAAAUGUUCAUUGACCAAAUGAAGAGUAUGAAAAAUUACCCCAAUCUCUAAUUUUGAGGGAACAUCAAAAUGAUCGAACAAUGCAUCCUCUGCAGUAACACCUCCAUAGAUUUCUUGCUACAUAGUGAAAGAAGACACCAAAAAUAAUUAUAAGCAUAUUUACUGAAAAAUAUUUUCUCUAAGUAUAUUUCAAAAGUUAUAAUAUGAUAAAAGAAUGUCACAUUUCCUUAUAUGUUAAAUAUUUAAAGAUACAAUUCUUCUUUUAUUCUUGUUGGUCCCAUUUAAUUAUAAAAUAGUACUCUAAUAUAUUUAUGAGAAGAGAAAAAAAAUAAGUUAACUGUUUUGAAGGAUAAUUUGAUAAACAUUUUAGAGUCUUCAUUAUUUCUUAAAUUUUGCGUCCGAUGUUAUCAUAUAAAAUGGGACAAAGAGAGUAUAAUUCUAAUUUUCAUUAUCGAAUUAUUUUUUAUGAUACACAUUUAGACUUUCAUAAAACAAAACUUCAUCAUUUUUGUUCUACCAAAAUGUAAGAAAUUACAUUAUUAUCAUGAUUGUGUACAAAUUUACUUAUUUUGCUUAACUCUCAAAUUAUAUUUUCAAAAUAUACUUACUCUCUCCAUUACUUUUUAGUUGCUAAGUUGCACUAUUCUUCCUGCAUUCCUUUUUAGUUGUCAUGUUAGAUUUUUUCAGAGUUAGUUUUACUAAUUUCUAAAUCUAAAGUAGAUUACAUUAAUUUGAGAUUUUAAAAUAAAAAUUUAAAUAUUUAAAAACUAUCUAAAAAGUAAUAUAAAAUACAUCUUUUUUCUGUAUCAAUAUAAUUAAAAAUAUAUCUUAAAGUAUCAGUCAGACACUCAAAAAGAAAAUUAUGACAACUAAAAAAGAACGGAUGAAGUAAUAUUCUAUCACCAAAUAUAGGUAUACGAAAAAAACAUCUUUCUUCUGCAGUAAUACUUGCAUAUUUUCCUUGCUGUAAAAUAAAAUAAAACACGAGAAAUUAAAAAUUAACCAAUCAAAUUAUUUGAAAUCCGGACAAAAUUAAUAGUGUGUAUUAUUUGCUUAAUUGGAGUAUUUUUUCUUGUAAUAACACCUCCGUAAUUUUCUUGUUACACAUUAAAAUAAUACAUCAAAAUUACAAGCGUAGUUACUAUUACCAUGUUGUAUUCAUAAAUUAUUAUAUAAUUUUAAGUACACUAAAUUAACUUAACUCUAUAAAUUAAUAUUUUCAGAAAAUAAGACAGAUAUAUAAAAAAUUACCUCCAAAUUCGAAUUUGGAAGAACAUUACCAAGUUGUAACGAUAUUCCAUCAGCAUUAAUACCUUCAUGAUUUCCUUGCUACAUAAUGAAAUAAGAUAUAAAAAAAUUAUAUGAAGAUUUAAUAAUAAUUAAUUUUACACUAUUUAUUUGCAAGAUAUUAUAUAAUUUGCUAAUAGUUAUCCCCUUCUCAUUCUUGUUAGGUUGGUACACUAAAAAUCAUCAAAUAUUUACGUUAGAAAGGCUAUAACUUUCUAAACAUAAAAGCAUACUAGAAAAUAAAUAAGAAAACGUAUAAAAUCAGAAGUACGUACCAAUUUACAAGGCUUCUGAUUAAGAUGUCGACUUAAUAUAUUAGAAAAACUUCUAUCUUUUUCAUAAUUAGACAUGAAGUUUCGAAGAUCAAGCUCAGUAUCAGGGCCAGCAUUGUUGAGAUUAUUUGUCAUAACUUGUGGAGCUAAAGCUGAAAUAUGGUCAGUCGUUAUUGACAAUUGAUUAGCAUUACCAGAUGUGGUUUUACUCGAAUCCAAAACCACUUCUGGAUUAGGUUUUUUAUCCAAGGUUAAACGAUAUUUCUGCAAAGUGUACAAAUAUAAAUAUAAUAAAUCACUAUUAACUCUUUACUUAAUUAGUAUUUAGUAUUUUUCUCGUUUCAUCUCAAAAAAUAAUAUUUAUUUUUCUAUAUGUGAAUUUAUCAUAUAAAUUCCUAAAAUGAUAAAUAUUUUUACUUUUAAAAAGUAAAAAGAGGUUGAUAGAAAAUAUAAACAUCAAAGAUAAUUAUUUAAACCUGGAGGUGGCUAGCAAUCUGUGUUUUACUUAGCUCAGGCAUAUUCAUAAGUUCAUGAACUUUUUUGGGACAAGCAUCUGCAAAAAAAAAAAUAGAUAUAUAUACAUACAUACAUACAUACAUACAUAUAUAUAUAUAUAUAUAUAUAUAUAUAUAUAUAUAUAUAUAUAUAUAUAUAUCAUGUUUAUUUCCUGGUUUACUCAAAUCGAAAUAUAUAUACAAGUAGUGAUGGAGGCAGAAAAUUUACUAAGGAACGUUAAAAUAAUACAAAAAUAGAUAUAUGUAGAGAGUGAGAUGAGUCACUUAAGUACCUACAAUAUAUACAUACAUGAAAUUAAAAUAUGAAAUUAAAAUUUUAAUCUAGUUAAAUAAUGUAAUUUUUCGAUGAAAGACUAUAUAAUAAGACUGUGUUAUAUAAAUAUAAGAAAAUGAUAAAAUGGUGACUAAAUAUAGAAAAGUGGACAUGCAUUAUUGAAUAAAAUAAGGGGUAUGUCAAGUACCUACAACAUACAGAAAAGAAUUAAAAUUUUAAUCUAGCUAAAUAAUAAUGAAAGGUGGCUCUAUCGAAAAUCACAUAUUUUAUGGUGUUUUACAUAUAGAUAAUAUUUGAAUGACCUGAUAUUAUCGAAUUAUUUAUGUAUAGGAAGACUUACUUUUCACACCAAGUAUAUCAACAACUUCCACGAAUUUGUUGUGAAGGGGAUCCCUCCAAAGGGUAUUACUCCUCUUGGCUCGUUGAGUUGAAUAGUCUUUAUUCUCAACAUCGUCAUAUUUUCUGAUAGAUUUGUCCUUCUUACUAACGGAAGACGAAGAUUCAAUAUCAAUUACCUCAUUGAGGAUUUUCUCAUUAGUGUUUUCUUCAAACACUUGUACAACUUGUUUUCCUUUAUGCUUCUUCUUUUCCAAUGAGGUGGCAUAAUUCCAUAAAUAAUUUAUACCAUCUUGUGUUAUGGGCUUCAGUAUGAAGAAAACAGCUCUAUUGUCAAGUCCUUUGAUAAGUGUACUGUCUUUCUUAUCAUUUGACAUAACUGACAAUCACAUUAAAUGAUAAAGAUCUAAGUCAUACAAUUAGAACAAAAUAGAGCAAAAAGGAUGCUUAAUAGUUCACUAUAGGUAAAGUGUGAAUUACGAGAGGUUUUCUAGGGAUUAGUAUGAAAAUUUGUAGGUAACUUAUUCUCCUGCAAAUUUUUAUACUAAUCCGUAUAAAAAUUCCCAUGUAAUUCCAUUCUAGAUUAAUCCCUAUUCCGCAUAUCUUAAAUUUCUUUCUAUAAAUCAUACAUAGUAUUAUUAUGGUUAGUCGCUAUUUCAUACUCUCUCCGUUUCAUUUUAUGUGACAACAUUUGACCAGGCAUGGAGUUUAAAAAAUAAUAAAGACUUUGGAAUGUUUGUCAAAUGGUCCUUUAAAAAGUAGAAUCACUUUUCUCCCUCCUCAUAAAAGUACUAUCUCUAAAAUUAAGUGGACAUUCUUUUCUCGGAUUGAACAAAAAGGAAAUGAUGUCACAUAAAAUGAGAUGUAGGGAGUAGAUAAUAUAGUAUAUAAAAUUUGGAUCAUUAUGAAUUUAGAGUUAUCAAUAAAGAAAGAUAUUUUUUUAAUUUUUAUAAAAAAUAUAAAGAAUUAUAAACUUACAACAAAUGGGAAUGUCAAAUUCCUCAGCUAUGUCUUGGUGAAAUUGAAAGACAUCCAUUUUAAGCAUGUGGAUAUCAGUGAGCAAAAGAUCAAAUGAGAGGCCACUGCUUCUAAGGCCACCCAAAGCAACUUCUACGCUAUUCACUGUCAUAACUGAAUUAAACAAAGCAAUUUUAUUAUUAUAUAAACAUACAAAAAGAACAAAUAAUUAUUACUAUCACAUAUAGAAAUAUUUCAAAAAUCAUUUGAUGAAGAAUUAAAGAAAUUAAUUAGAUAAAGUGAAUAUACUUCCUCAAUUUCUUUUAGUUUCUUAUUGCACUUGGAGUCAGGUUGACUAAUUUUUAAAGUUAAAUUCAAUUAAAUUAUUUUAAUAUUUUUUAAAAAUAAAAUUUAAAUAUUUAUAAACUAUACAAAAAUUACUAUAUAUUAUAAUUUCAUUAUAUUAAUCUGAUGAAAAAAAUACAUUUAUAAUAUUAGGCAAUUUUCAUAUCAAUUGACUCUUGAAAAGAAAAUUGUAUCAAAUAAAAAGGAAAAGAGAAAAUGUAUAUUUAAAUAGGCUAAGUAAGUUUUAUUGCUAAAUAGAGUAUCCAUUCCUUAAACUAAACGAGUAUACUUAAAUUAAUUCAUUAAACUAAACUAGUAUACUUACAUUAAUUACUUAAUUUAAAGGAGUAUACUUACAUUAAUUACUAGAUUUAAUGGGCUUCUUAAUUAAAGAUCUAUUUUCUUAAAUGUGUUAUUUUAUAGAUUUCUUAAAUAAAUUGUUAUGCCCAGAUUAUUAAAUCAGUUUAUACUAGUGGCAUUCUUUUUGACUAAUGCUCCAAGUAAUUAAUAGUAAAUGAGUUAUUACUAUUAUAUAAGAAUUUCUUACAUAAAAGGUAUCUUUGUCCUUGAAUAGUCUAAUCUCCUGAUUAUUCAGAAGAGAAUUCAUAAUUUAAAAUUUAUGAGUUCUUCAUAACAAUUUUUAUGAAUUAUUGAGUUUUUUUUAAAAUUAUUUAAGAUAAAUAAUACAGAAUUUCUCAAAGAAGUUAUUGAUAUCAUCGGAUCGAUACCCUCUACUUUCUUCAUAUCUCAUUGCACAUAAAAUAAUAUAUAGAUACCAACAUAACCUAAUACAUAUGUUAUAAAAUUGGACCAACCCAAAAUUGCAUUAAUUAAAUGUAUAUUAUAUAUAAAUUUUAUGUUAAAAUUAGUUUUACAUAUAUAAUAAAAAAAUAGUGGUGUCUUCAUGAUUUUGUACAGUCAAAAUUCAUUAAAUAGGUAAUGAAAAGAACAAUUGUCUUGUUUAAAUUUUGAUAUAGUUGUACUUGAUUAAAUUUAGAAGGCCCUUUAAUUCAUUUGAUGUCAGUUUUGAUUACAUAAAAUCUUAGAUCAAGAAAAGAAAAUAAAAAAAUAUCCUGUUUUGAAAUGAAACAUAUGUCAUCGUAACUCUAAAUUUACGAACGCACACGUUAAACGAAAAUUUUAAAAAAAAAUAAGUUAAGUACCUUCAAAUUGGGAAUACUUGAGUGAUGCAAUAGUAGUAAGAUGGCAAUUGAUAUCAUCCACAACCAGAAUUCUACCCUUUUUUUUUACCUCCAUUGAUUUCAAUUCCCCAAAAACAUAAAUGAUAACAAUUGAUUGCACGGUGUUUUAGAGUAUUUUCUAAAAGGGAAACACAAAUUUAAACAGAUGAGCAAAAAAAGUUUUUUAAGACAACACUCCUUAACUAUUAUAUAAACCCUUUAAUAAGUCCUUUAAUUUAAUUUUAACACAUAUCUAUGCCCUCCAACUUUUAAUAAGUAUAAAUAGAUGAUAAAAAUUGUAUAAAAUUAAAUAAGUAAAUAUAUAUGUCCUACAUGACAUAAUAUAUGUGGAAGCCACAUAGAACAUAAAAUUGUCAUGUAGGACGACACUUAAAGAGAAUGUGUCUAUUUGUUAAUUUAUAAAGUUCAGUAUAUAUUUGUGUAAAUUAAAAGUUGAAGGAUAAAAAUAUUAAUUAAAGCUAAAUUAAAGAACAUAUUUAUUUAUUGCGAUGGUAAACAUACAUUUGUGGCAUUCUUUUUGUACUAGAAUCUUCCUUUUGGAUUGCUUAGUAGAUUUGUAUUUAAUUUUUUUUGUCCUUUUUUUCUCUAACGCAAUAAACAACUGAUUAAAUUAAAAGCUAUUUGCCAAAUUAUGAAUUGUAUAUAUCUAUGAUCUAACCAUGAUUUAGAUAAUUAAUAUAUAAGAUAUUUGCUUCAAUUUUAGUAAAUUCACAGUCAUUCUUGCAGUCAAAGCAUUCUAAAGAUAAAAAUUCCUUUUUCACAUUUAGGCUCCAUUCUGGAUGUUGGUACUUGUAUUAAUAUUUUUAUAUUAGUUGUUACUUGUAAUUAUAAAUAAUUGUAGUUAAAAAUUAUAUUUAGCUGAAAAAAAUAAAUUUGGAGCAGAUUAUUUAAUUAUUUAUUAUAAAUUUUAAGUCGUUGCUAUUUAAAAUCUUACACAUUUUGUGACAAUCUUUUUUAUUAUUAAAUCACAGAUUGAUUAGAGACGAUAAAAAUAUCUUUCACAAAGUAUUUAUAUUAUUAGUGACAAAAAUAAAUGUCUUAACUAAAUCUAAAUUUUUAUUGCUAAAACUUAAUAUUUAACUACGAACUCUAAUUUGUCAAUAUUGUAACAAUAUAUAUUUCGAUGAAAUUUUUUUGUGUUCAAAAAUUAAUAAAUUUAAGAAAUUUUUUUGUCAUGAAUUAGAUACAUUAUUGGUGAGGAAAUAAUGUGUCACUCGUAACUUUAAAUUCGUGACUAACACUAUUUAACAAAUAGUGCGAAUUAAUUUUUUUCGUGAAACACUUUAAUGGACAAAACUUUGCGGAUUUUUAUGUUUCGUCACCAAAAGAAUAUGUCUCAUAUGAGCACGAAAACUAAAUUUUGUCACUAAAAAUGAACAAUUAGUGAAGAAUUUUUUUUGUUAUUAGGGGCUUCAAAUGGGCGUGUUGGGUCGAAAUUGAGAAUAUUAAAAUGGUUUAAAAAAAGUCGGGUUUGGUCUUGACCCCGCCCAAGUUUACUCUAGGCUCAAAUGAGCAAAAAAAUGUUUGGGUCUUGACCCGCCCAAUUUGACCCGAUUAAUCUCAAUAAUUUAACAUAUUGAUAUUUAACUUUUAUAAUCACAAUUUUAGCUCAAGAGUCUUUUAAAAAAAUAACAAAUGGAUAGAUAAACCCUAAAAGAAUGUUAAUAGAUAAUAAUUCAUACCUUAAAUAUAAAGGUAAGCCAGCUAUCCCAACCAUUGACAUAGGAGCGAAGGCCUUUUACUGGAACUCGAGGAUCGGCUUAAACUUGAAACUGCCUCAGAAGCAAAGAGAGGCAAAAAAUAUAUCUUAAUAAAAAGUUUUAAAACUGGUUGAAAUUGAAGAUUGAAUUGGCUCAAUUGAGGAUUCUCUUCAAAUGGGUUAUGCUUGAAUGGGUUGAGAUUGAACCCAAUUCAAAUUAUCUUGAGCCUAGCCCUUAAAAUUCUGAGCGGAUUGGACGGGUUACCUAUGUAUGGCUAAUUUUUAACACCCCUAGUCGUAUUUAAUAGUUUCAUAGCUAUAUAUCAUAUUUAAUUUUUUGUAGUGUGUCUCCAUGACAGUGGAAUCAUAGAAGGUUGGCCAAUCAAAGUUAAUAAUCUAUUCUACCAUAGAAUCAAACAUCAAAUAAGUGUGUUUGCAAUAAAUUUUAAAGUGAUCGAAAAUAAAUUACAAUCACAAAUAAAAUAAGAAGAAACAUGACUUUAUUCAUUACAUUUAUGUUCCUCCCUAGAUUCUCUUCUCAUAAGAUUUUUAUCCAUGAUUCGAGGAUCGUUAGUGGCGUAUUUCUCGAACUAGGAUGAUUUAGAUUUGCCCUGUAUAUGAAUGUACCAUUAAUUUAUGGAAUAUUCAAGAUCUUGUUCUCUUUAAGGAAUUUUCGAGAUGUAUUUUAAGAGAAUUCAGUAUAUUUUAUAUAAGCAUAAACUAGGGUUCAGCGUUGAAUAGCUACCAAGAAUUCUAUUUAAAAGUGAACACGCCUUCUAAAGUCCCAAUUCAAAUUAAACAUAUCCUAUAGAGUACUACAAAAAUUUCAAUGUUUAUAAAGUGAUCUCUAUAGUCAUCAAAACAUUUGCACAACACACAAGUAUAAUCUACAUUCAUACAGGAGAUAAUCAUUUCCCAUUAAUCAGUCUCUCAACAUUCAACAUAUUUCCAUGAAGGCAUAAACACAAAGUGAAUGUAUCUUUUGGUCUAUCUAACUGUUGCUAGAUCUCCUAGUCAUUGUAGAUAAAUACUCAUGUCGUGGUUUCAUAUUUCUUGAGUAAGGAAAUUUUAUGUAAAAUUAUUGUGUUUUAUUUACUUUAAUUUUUUUAUUUUUCAUAUUAUUAUUUUAUUGGGAGACCUGAUCCAAUUAUCAUUGGUGAACUCAUAAUACAUUCUAACACAAUCACUUUGUCAUGAAAGUGGAAAGAGAUUCAAUAAAAAUUCUAAUAGAUAAUUAGUAUUUUCUAAAAUAAAGAUAGAAUAUUUUUAAAGUAACUUGUAUAUUUUAUUUAACGUGACAAAUAUGUUGUAUGUAAGUAAAGCCUCAAUCUGAAUACAAAUCUGAAUAUUAAGAUUUGUGUUAAGAUUCACGUGUUUUGGUCUGAAUACACAUCUGAAUAUUAAGAUGUGAUCUCUAAAUCUAAACACUAAAUAAUUAAUGUUGUUUGUUUUCAAUAUCUUUUUUCAAUAUCUGAAUGUGCUUGUGAAAUUAAUAUUUGAUGUCAGUUUUGAUUUAAUUAAAUUCAGAAGACCCUUUAAUUCAUUUAAUGUCAAUUUUGAUGUACAUAAACUCUUAGAUCAAGAAAAAAAAUAAAAAAAAUACCCUAUUUUGGAAUGGAACAUGUGUCAUCACACUUUAAAUUUACUAUCGCGCACGUUUAACAAAAAAUAAAGUACCUUCAAAUUGAGAAUACUUGAGUGACACAAUAGUUGUAAGAUGGCAAUUGAUAUCAUCCACAAUCAGAAUUCUACCCUUUUCACUAUUUUCUACCUCCAUUGAUUUUAAUUCCCCAAAAAUAUAAAUGAUAACAAUUGAUUGCAAGGUGUUUUAGAGUAUUUUCUAAAAGGGAAACACAAACUUAAAUAGAUGAGCAAAAAUUUUUUUUGAAGAGAACACUCCCUAACUAUUAUAUAAACCUUUUAAUAAGUCCUUUAAUUUAAUUUUAACACAUAUUUAUGUCCUCCAAUUUUUAAUAAGCAUAAAUAGAUACUAAAAAUUGUAUGAAAUUAAACAAGUAAAUACAUAUAUGUCUUACGUGUCAUAAUACAUGUGGGACGUCACAUAGGACAUAAAAUUGUCAUGUAGGACGAUACUUAAAAAUAAUAUGUUUAUUUGUUUAAUUUUAUAAAAUUCAGUUAUGUAAAUUAAAAGUUGAAGGACAAAUUAACUAAAGUCAAAUCAAGGGACAUAUUUAUUUAUUACAAUGGUAACAUUACAUUUGUGGCAUUCUUUCUGUACUAUAAUCUUCCUUUUGGAUUGCUUUGUAGCUUUGUAUUUAUUUAUUUUUUGUCUUUUUUUGCUCUAAUGCAAUAAAUAGCUGACUAAAUUAAAAGCAAUUUGCCAAAUUAUGAUUUGUAUAUCUAUGAUCUAACCAUUGUUGACACCCAAUUUCGACCCUCCUCUGUAUAAAUUAGUUUUCGAGCUUCUUAAAUUUCCAAACAAUUUAAAAUAAUUAGUUUUAUAAAUUUUACAAAAAAUAGUAAUAAUAUAUGAACUUCAUGUUAUUUUGAAUACUUUUGUCAUUUUUCUUAUAAUUUUAGAUAGCCUAUAUAUUUUAUAUGAUUAUGUAUGUAGUUGGUAUAUUUUACGAUUUUUCUCAAAAUAUUUUAAAUUUUAGUAUGUAUUCUAUUUGACUAAUCAGCUUAAAUUAUGGUUAUAUUUUGAAUCACUAUUUUUACAAUUAAAAUAAUUAUAUUACUAAGAUAAAUAAGUUCGUUGAUUAAUUAAUACAAAUUCAUUUUUUAUUUAAGGUUUAGCCAAAUUAAUUAUCCUAACUUAAUUUGACUACUUAUUAAAUUAACCCCUCUUAAAAUUCCAAUUCAAUUUUGGGCCUUUUUGCAAAUGUCCUCUAAUUCCCUUUCCAACCUUUUAUUUUAUUUUAUUUCCGAGACCCAAAUUUUUUAAUCAACAUUUAACCCAUUUUUCCUUUAAUUCAUUUAAAGGACCACAUUUUGGGCCUACUUCUUUUUCCAAUUCCUCUUUUAUUUUCCAGCCAACCCAUUCCUCCUACCCGGCCCAUAAUCCUUAAAUCCCAAACCAAAUUCCCUUCUCCCCCUUUUUCCUUUCGACCCACCCCGACCCGAUUCCCCUUCUUCCUCUCCUACACGCAUUCCCCAGAAAAAACAGAACAUGCAUGUAAAAAAAAUCCCAUAAAUUUCGAAACCCAUUAGCCGUUUAUCGCGCUGUUUGGCCUUACCCCUCACUCCUCGAGCCGUCCCCCUCCUCUGCAAGUCGUACGAGGGCAUUGAAGGACAGGCCCAGGUGGAGAAAUCUCCUUUCUCCAUCGUCCUUUGCUUGCAAAUUCGAUGAUUGCGAUCGCUUGUUCUGUUGAAGGUUCGUACUCGUUUAGCUGGCGUCCUUAUCCUUUGGGUGAAGAGAGAAUUUUGAAUUCAAAAGGGGACAUGGAAUCACGAAUUUGCCCCAAACCUUCUUUCGUUUUCCCCCCGCUCUCCACCUUUGAGAAAUGACUAUAUAUACUACCAUUUCCUCACUGUUUGAGGGGUUGGUUUUUCUGGAUAUUAUCAUUGUUACAAAAAUACAAACAAUCACAAAGAAUUGAAGAAAAUAAGGCACUAGUUCGGGGGUAGUUUACACACUAGUUGUUGAAGGCAACCUAUAGAAAUCGAAUUUGGAAGUGAAAGUUUAGGCCCCAAACGUUAGAAUCGGCUUUAUUUCAAUCUAAAGUUUCAUCCCUUCCUCGUUCUAUUCUCAUUCCGUCACUGUUUUCAGAGUUCGUCGUAGUGAUCAGAUUUCUAUUGUAGUCGUGGAAGGUCGUCUCCUUUACCAGCAAAGUCUCAGUCGCUGCUCGGAGAAAGGUAAUGCUUCCUUUUAUUUAUAUCUUGUUUCAGUGUUGAAUGUGAUGCGAUGAAUAUUAUUGUUUCCUCUGUUUCGUCACUGUUUUGGUUUACUCGUUUCGACUUCUAUGCUCUUCAAUCGUUGAUUCAUUGUUGAUUGUGACGAGUAUGCUUCAACUUUGUUAAGUUCCAUUUGGAACUGCUCGUAUGCAUUUCUUUGGUUCGAUUGUAUUGUGUUUAGCUUAAUAUGUAAGUUCGAAAUGAAUUCUCAUAUUGUUUGUCGGAUAGUCUUUAUUUGCUUGUCUUGAGGAUGUUGUGGUGAAGGUUCAUGGCAGGUCAUUAUUUUGAAUCAAUGUUUGAACUCUCGUAAUGAAUCUGUUGGCUCAAAUUUGGUUCCAGCCAUGCUCAUUUGCCAUUUAACUCGAUUCUAUUGGCUACAUCUUCGAUGUUUUGAUGUUUAGAGAGUAAAUGAGUUUGAAGUAUCUCGGUAAAUUCAUGUGAAUUUAGUUGUUUUUGUUCUUUUUGAAUUCAUAUGAACAAGUUUUUUGUUUUUUGCUUUGCUUGAAGUAUUUCUUUCUUCCAUUUAAAUGCACCACUGUUUUAAAGUUCUUCAUCGAUUGGGUUAUACUUCCAAUCGUUUCUUUCUAUGCUACUUGUUGUAACUAAUUCAUAUUUACAAAUCAUGUUCUUUCUUUCCCAUCAAAUGAGUUGCAUGUUGGAAACCCCAAACUGAUUUUGAACACUAGAGGUUGGUUAAGAAAAAACAAUAAGCAUUGUACUUAUGGCAUACAUGAUCAAAUCUGGAAAGAUAAAUGAGUCAUUGUGGACUAUUUAACAGGAGCAUAUAUACCUUCAAGGACAGUGGCCUAUGUAGUUGACUGCCUUAAUCCGAAGUCCUAUAGCAAGUUAAAUGAACUGUUUUCUUGCCUAGUUUGAUUGAUAGUUGGAUUGUGCGUGAUCAAAAUUUGUCUGUGUCUUGUGUAGCUGUUUCCUUUCAUAUUUUGCAGCUCACUUCCUUCAUUCUUAAUGGUGCCAUUUCUGCAUUUUUGAUUUUGAAGUGUUGUUUUUGAAAUUUCGAGUAAGCUAUAUGUUGUCACUUUCAUACAUUCAAGCAUGCAUAGCCGAAGUUUGUAGGAUUUUGUUUAAGUUAUGUCUUGCUCCGUCUCCGACUUGCUUUCUAGUUGGGUUUGUUUGAUAUCAAUCGCAUGGAUUAUCAUAGUUAUUUUGUUUACGGGUGACAUUAAUGUUAUGAUGUGAUAUUGAAUUCUACCCUCCUAAUUCAUUUUCUUUUGUCUUGUUUGUUUGGAUGUAAAACUAUUCUCCAAACCUCAUGGACCUCACUCCAAUUCCUUGCACCUUCUCGUUGAGCCAUAAAGGCUCAAAACACCCUUCCUGAGUCAGUCAACCUCUUGAAAGGAUGUACGGGUCGGAAAAACCAACAGAGGCUGCUGGAAAAUUACAGUUUGCAGGUGUUGAAGAAAGUUGUAUGCCAUCUAUAUACACAUGUUAUACCCUGAUAUACAGGUUGAAAGGCGUACAGGAAGCAAAAAUCAAAAUCUGGGUUGAUAGCAAUCCAAAUACACUGCUUAAAAGGAGGUUUCAACUUUUGAAAGUUGAAAACAGACUGAUAUACAGCUUGUAUACACUGAUAUACAGAGACGCUAUACCUUAAAUAGGUGUAAAAAAUAUGAAUGGCAAGUAAACGUAUAGGGACGCUAAUUUCAUAUAAAAUACAGGAAUAGGCAAUGAAUACGUGCAUAGGAUACAACCCUUAUACAUUGGUAUACAUCUCUUGGGCGACGAUAUACAAUUGUUAAACAGGUUUUAAAUGGUACAGGUACAAAUACGCAGAAAUAAUUUGGAAAAUACAGGGAAAAUAGCGGAAAAUGUGUAUUCGAACAAUGCAGGGCUCAAAAGUCCCAAAUAAUGGAUUGGAUAUACACCGUAUACAGUAGUAUACAUCUUGUGUAUACUUCUUAUUUCUUACAGGAAAUGUGCCAGGGCCCUUUUCAACAAAAGCGUUUAAUAGGCCUAAAGGCCAAUUUGUUUUGCAUGAUUUGAAUUGUUGAAAAGAGCCCAAAUUUAAAUAGUUCAAUAUAGGACAGGUGGGCCAAAGCCCAACUUAAUGAUUUUGGGAUAUCUAGCCCAAAGUCAAAUAUUAUUUUUCUUCUUUAUUUAUUGUUUGUUUGAAUUAAUUAAUAUUUUGGUAGAAUUUUAAUAAUCUCCUAAAAGGCAGCCAUUUUUUAUUAUUUUAAAUUUUACUAUUUUAUUUACUUAUUUUGUUUGCUUUUCUCACCAUUUAGUUUUCCUUAAGUUAAUUUCCUUUAGAUGUUUUCCUUUAGAAAUAAAUAACAAAUGGAACGAAAUGUGUUAAAAUGAAUUUUCUCUUUACUUAGUUAAAAAAUUUUAUUUUAAAAGUCAUAUAGUCAAAUCGCCGAUCAACCGCAAGUUAGCGGGCAUCCUGAGGGCCUAACACCUUCUCGGGAUGUACAUUGAACUUCGAACCUUUUUCAAUUGAUUUUAUCUGUUUUGAAUCUUUGAAAAUUUUAAAUUUUUCUUGAUUUUAUAAAAUAUCAAGUGGUGGCUCCUUAUUUUGAAAAGUCGAUUUUUCUUAAAUAAUAAGAUUAAUUGAUUUUUCGAAACCGAGUCAUCUUCACACCAUUUUUAAACAAAUAAUAGUAUAUUUUAAAAAUAAAAUAGAAAUGGCGACUCUGUUGGGGAUCAAUUAAAUUCUAACGACAAGAUUUGACUGUUUGACUAAUUGUUUUAUUUGUUGUUUGUGUGGAAUUGUUUAAUUUUUCAUUAAUUAUCAUUGCAUUCAUAGCAUAUCAUAAUUCCAUCAAACGACAUUUAUUUUAUUUCCACUAAAAGGAUGAUUAUGCGGCUUCGCAAUCGUUCGUUAACCAAAUUUUUCUCGGGACACCCUGACGAGUGUAGUUGACUACUUGAUAGUCCACGAUCGUUAAUUGUCCCAACCCAAGUAGUCCGCUUGGGUUAUCCAUUCCACUGUAAAUACAACUCACUCUUAGUCAAACUAAGAUAAAGUGAAACCCAAUCCCGAAAAAUAGCGCAUUGGCCUAAGAUGACCCAACACCCAAGGAGUGUUGGGCCCAUUAGAAAGACCGCUCUGAGUCCAAAGAGCCUACGACUCGAUAGAACGAUCAUAAUUGUGUGUUUUAAAGGAUGUAUUGCGUGUUUAACUGAUUGUUGUAUCGGGGGGUUAAAAAUUAACUAGUUGUAUGUUUUUGUAGAUGUCGAGUCAAUUCCUCCAUUUCAACAUGGUCACCAAGACGCCCGAUAUUCUUCGCAUAUGGAGGGACAACCUCAAAGAGUGUCAAAAGAGAGAAAUCUCGAUUUACUUGGGUCACCUACCUUUAAUAAUGGACUUCAAGGUAUGAUUCAUGUUUAUCGAGGUUAUCACUCGAUUCUGGGACGAUGAGAAGAUGGUAUUUCGAUUCGGAGAUGUCGAAAUAACGCCCACACUAGAGGAAAUCAAAGACUGCCUUGAUUCAAUUGUGACAUGUGGCAAAAAGAAAAAAAUGUCUGAAUCAUCACAUUCUCCUACCAGAUAGGCCAACUAGUAAGGAAUUGAAAGACAUAUUGUUGCUAGUGGAUGUAAAUUGGUUAGAGACCCACGACAUACCACUAAUGAGAUUUUUCGAGAGAUGGGGGCAUGACAGUUAUUUGAGACUAUUCCCGAACGAAUUCCACGAUCACAGUACCUGGAGGCAAACUCAGGCUAUGGCUUUCUCCGCAUGCCUUUUAGGAACUAUGUUGUUCCCUAAAGAUGAAGAAAAGAAAAUCGGCACACAGGUAGUGAUGGUGGUGAAUGCCAUGUUCAGAGGAAUCGGUAGAAAAUCAUAAGAAAAGAAGUAUUGUUGUUUGGCCCCAGUCAUUUUGGCCGACAUUUAACGAUCCUUAAGCCUGUGUAAAAAUGGGUUCCCGUUUUUCCAAGGUUGCAACAUUCUACUCCAAUGGUGGUUGACUGAACAUUUAUGUAAAAGGGACGACCUUCAGCCAUAGGAGUUGGCCAAACCAAGUCAGACAAGUCCUCUUGAUAAUUACGAGUUCUACCUAAGUGUCCGUAGAUUUUCAAUUUAUACCACCAGGGAUGCGUGUUUUAUGAUUUGAAAGAAGGAGACAUAUAGUGGAUGUUACCGAGCUUCAAGUCCGAGAGGAUAGCAUCACAAGGGCCAAACUUCCAUUUUUAGUCCUUCAUGGCAUCAGAGGAUUGCGUCCUUACAACUUAACGAGAGUGAUGAGACAAUUUGGUAGAUUCCAAGUCAUACCCGUCCAAGGAGAUGCCAGUUCUUUCAUUGUCGAUUACAACGAGAAGGACAAAAUACCUUUCGUUAAGAUCAUCCUCCAGGAAUGGGUCGGGCGUGUCAACAUAAAGUUGGAGAUGACCGAGAACAGGUAUGAAGCUGGGUAUGUCGAUGAAUACAAGACAUGGUUGCAUAAUGAUCUGCAUGGUGUAGUGAAUUCAAUACCACGUAUGGGUCAAUGAAUUGAAGACGUACAGACAAGGCUUCAGAUUCAUGCAUACCAUUUUAAGCAAGAGUGGGAUUGAAGGGAGCAAGAAUUUUAGAAGAGAGAGCAGGAAUUUCAACAAAGGGAGCGAGAGUACCAACUUCGAGAGUUAGAAAGUCAGAGGGUUUUGGAUGUGACGUCACAAGAGUUAGCCGACACAAGGGCUUGUCUGAUGCGUUUGGACACUAUUCUGGAUGAGCAGAUGAACACUUUCCGAGCCGUACCAACAUCUUCCAAAGCUGUGUCCGCUGAGCCGUACGUGUUCAUCAGUAAGUGCAUUAUCCGCGAAGAAGUAGAGAAGGCUAGAAGAGGAGCUGAACCAUCGACCUUUUGACUCCCAUGCGUGGGAUUGUUUUUAUAUAUGUAUUCGCAUUACAUCCCCUUUCUUAAACGUACCCCGUUUGAUUAAAUUAUGUAAUGAACGCUAUGAUACUUAGUGAAAUUUAUUUUGGGGAUACAAUUAUUUUUUUAAUGGCGCAAGAACAUCCAAAUGGAACUCACUGAAGAAGAGCUAAAGAGAAGGAUCGAGCGUAUCACUCGAGAAAUUCAAAAAACCAAGAAAAAAGGGCUCAAAGUUGACAUGGCUACAACAAUUUACAAAGCUGCAGCCGUGACAUUGGAUGAGGAUUUUCGCAUCGCAGAUAAAAAGAAAGAAAGAGGUUGAGAUGGAGACCGAAAGCUUGAGAAGGAAAUUGUGCAUGCUUCUUUUGAAGGUGCACGAAGGAAAGGUGAGAGAGGCAAUGAUAGAUGUGGAGACCGCCAUGCUGUUAGCCAAAAGUGCGUUACUUAAUAAGGAAUUGGCAUCCCAUAGCAACCUGAAGGGCGGAAAAUACAUUGCUUGUGAACAGGGAGAAGACAAAAAUGGCCCUAAGAAAACUCACCCCGAAUUGACUGAGGAGGAUGACGAGGAGGAAAUCGUCUACAAGCCUCCAUUUCUAGGUCGUCUGAAAGGAAGAGAGUGACGCUGCAACAAGAAAAGAAAUGACUAACGUGUCGUCGUCAUGUUAUCGUUUGAGAAUUUUACUGUUGUUUUUCAAUUUUCUUGUAAUCGUAAUGAAGGAAUGAAUGAAAAUAUUUCAUCCUAAACUCGAACUUUGUUGGGCCUGAAUUCUCCCUGUGAGAUACGUAGGAAGCCUCUCCCAGCCCGGCCCCUAUCUUUAAAAAUUUUCAUUCUCCUUCAUGUUAUGAAAGAUACGAAGAUCAGAUCAACAGACAUCAAAAACAGCUGCAAAAAGACCAUAACUCAACGUGAUUUAGCCUUCCCGGGACAGUGUCCAAAAAAAACAAGCAAAUUCCUGCUUUGUUAAAAAAUGUAUAAUUGUCCUCACUCAUGGGUUAAAGAUAUCUUCAAACAAAGGAACUUGUGUAUUUAUCUGCUCUCUGUGUGAUAUUAAGCUUUUUGUAUUCUGAAUCUGCACUGACAAAUCUGCCUUUGAGUUGUUUCACUUCUCAGGUACUUUUUAACUGGUCUGUGUCGAUUAAAGCUGGCAGAUCAUCCUUACUUCACCAGAUCGAAAGGUCCUACAGGUUCCUUCCCUAGACCAAAUUCAGACAAAGAAAAGACAAUUACGGGAGACAACAACGAUGAAAAGAGUCUUACUGACGUUGUGGUAGCUCAUCCCACUGUAGCGGAAUAGAACGAAUUGAUCAUGCAACUGAUGUAGCAGAUUUCUGAAAUGAAAGUUAAAAUGCAACGAAGACAAGAUAGCCUCCACCUGGAUUUGGUCCUAAUAUUGCUGAUGCAAGACCUCCAAUCUACUUUCGUUCAUCAAACAUGAAUCCAACUCAGAACCAGCCUUCUACGCUUGUGCAUAAUUCGUCUGUGAUAGAUCUGACAACCCAAAACCCACAAUACACUUUUGUAUCUUACCAAACUCCUUCACCUUUUCCAAAUAACCACCCUCAAAUGACACCUCCUCCUCAGAAUACUCAAACUGCCUUCAAUCCCCAAACACUUCAUCCCCAUAUAAGUCAGAACACCAAUCCUCAGGCCUACCCUCAAAACUACCAGAUCGCCCAAAAUGCUCCAAGUCCCUCUAUAGCUCCACCCCUCCCAAAAAGAUCCACCUUCCAAGUUCCCGUUCCUGCCGAGCACGAGGUGCACGGUUCUGAGUUAGAUCACUAUGAAGAACAGGAAAGAGAAUGGAAGGCAAAGGAGGAAGCAAAGAUCGAUAUAAAUGAGGAAUUCAAAAGGGCUAUGAAAGAGCUACAGUGCAUCCUAGACGUCGUUGGACUCAGUUACGAUGAUUUGUGCAUCCACCCAAAUUUGAACCUUCCCGAAGGAUUCAAAAUUCUGAAGUUUGACACCUUCGGAGGAGUAGGCAAUCCCAUGGUGCAUCUGAGAGCGUAUUGUGACCAGCUCGUGGGAGUUGGCAGGGAUAAGGCCUUGUUGAUGCGGUUUUUCAGCCAAAGUCUAUGUGGGGAGGCGGAGUUGGAAUGCGUUGGCUAAAGACUUCAUUAACCGAUUCGCCUAUAAUGUCGAAAUAGUUCCCGAUCGGUAUUCUCUAGAGAAGAUGAAGUAGAAACCAACUGAAAGCUAUAGGGAAUUUGCCUAUAGAUGGAGGAAAGAAGAAGCGAGGGUAAGGCCACCCAUGACCGAGAAAGAGAUUGUGAAAGUGUUUGUGCAGGUGCAAGAGCCAGAGUACUAUGACAGAAUCAUAUUGCUAGUCGGAGCUAAAUUCGUCGAGAUAGUCAAAGUUGGUGAGACUACCGAAUAUGGUUUGAAAUCGGGGAAGAUAGCCUGUGUAUCCGUGUCACCUCGGUCUUCAGGAUUGAUAAGGAAGAGAAGAGAGAAAGUUGUCAUUGUCUCGUAUGGGGGAAGAAAAACUCUCAGAAACUCGUCGCGUUCCCAAGAUCGCUCCAGGCCUUCACCAAAGUCUCACCAAGCCUACUACCCGCAAUUCAAUCAUCCCAGCAACCACAAUACUGCCCCCACCUAUCCAAAUGCUCAAAUUUUGUCAUACCAAAGUCCACUCCCAAAUCUCCAAAAAUUUUCCCCUAUAUACCCAAAUUACCCUUAACCUUACCAAAUUCCAACUCCCUAUCAGAAUAUUGCUCCCAACUGUGCCAAUGUACAGUCGAGCUACUGAGCGCCCUCGCCCAUUUAUCAAGUCCAAGCUCCAAUUUAUCAAAAACCCCUCCCGAAUUACCAAGCUCCAGUGCCAAAUUAUCAAACAAACCCUUAUCCUAGAAGCCAAGUUCCUUGUCCGAACACCCAAAAUUAUCAACAGGUGCUUCCCCCUCAGCAAAGCGGUUAUUAUCCUUCCCGUCCGAGAUUUGACAAAAAGCCUUCAAGGAACUUUAUCGCACUUGCUGAAAGCUGGACAAAACUAUUUGAGAGACUAGCCGCAACUGGAUACAUCCACCCUGUGAGGCCCAAGCCCGUGGAUGUCAACUCAAAGUUCUACAAGCUAGAUCAAAGAUGUGCUUAUCAUUCCAAUAGUGUUGGACAUGACACGAAAGAUUUCAUCAACCUUAAGCACAAAAUCUAAGACCUGAUCGAUCAGGAGGUAGUUUCUCUUCAACCGGCGGCGCCAAAUGUCAAUACAAAUCGGUUGCCAAAUCAUGGAGGUGGCAAUGUUAAUAUGAUUGAAACGGAUGAAGACGGGUGUGGAACAAAGAUGAUUACUCCUAUUGUGAAUGAGGACUUGGAAAGGGCUGUCGCUUCUUUAAGCGUCAAGGAAAGGAGAGAGUUUGUUAUUCUGACACCUGCAAAGGUUGUUGCCUUGGUGCCUUCGGAAACUCUCGUCAAGCCCAAAUUUGUCAUUGAAAUUGUUGUAGCCCAAGGCAUGACCAGGUCCGGAAGGUGCUACACUCCUGAUGAGCUUUUAUCUCAGAGGACAGAAGAAGGACCAUCCUAAGAGGCCGAUAAGCGAAGGGGAAGCAGAAGAGUUCUGGAGAAGGAUGCAACCGAAGGACUAUUCCAUUGUCAAACAUUUAGAGAAGACUCCGGCUCAGAUCUCCAUGUGGGCCCUGCUGAUGAGCUCUCAGUCCCACAGGCAGGCCUUAAUGAAAGCUCUUGACGAUACAUAUGUACCUCAGGUACAAGUAGUGAUAACAUGGCUGCCAUGAUUCAUCAAGUUAUUCGGGGGCACCGAAUCAACUUUUGUUACAAUGAGUUGCCAGUCGAAGGAAGAUCACACAACAAAGCGUUGCACAUUACCGUGAUAUGUCGUGACAAGGUUGUCAACCGUGUUUUGGUAGAUGAUGGAUCCGGUUUGAAUAUCUGCCCAUUGUCGAUGUUGAGGAACCUAAAUUUUGACCUCGGGAAAGUGAAGCAGAAAAAGGUUAAUGUAAGAGCGUUUGAUGGUGUUCAAAGAGACACAUUAGGGGCAGUGAAUUUGACCCUUCAAAUGGGCCCCGUAGAGUUCGGCGCACAAUUCCAAGUAUUGGACAUAGACACCAGCUACAACCUUCUUUUGGGAAGGCCAUUUAUCCACAUGGCUGAAGCCGUCCCCUCUACUCUCCAUCAAAUGAUGAAGCUUGUAGGAAAAAUGAAGAGUUAGUGAUUCACGGCGAGGGAAGUCACUCGGGCAAGCAAGUGUUGGUCAUUGAUGAGAUGCCGCAAGGUGCAGACUUUUACAUAGUGGAGCUGGCGAAUGCCACCGAUGAAGUUUUGUCCCCACAGACCCCCAUGCCAGCCAUAUACAAAAUGAUAGCCACGGUGAUGCUGCAAAAUGGUUUCGAGCUAGGUUUCGGAUUGGGAAAAGAUUCCCAAGGAAUUAUUGAGCCUGCUCCGAUCCUUGAUAAAGGAUCCAUAUAUGGUUUGGGGUACAACCUCACAGAUGAUGACGUGAAGAUGAAGAAGAAAAGGGAUCAAAAGUUGGCUAAGCCGAUCCCGCAUCUGUAUCAAUCCUUUCCAAUCCGGGAGUAUGACGAGCCUGAAAACUUUGGGGAAGGAAUCUGUGACCUCUUCGAAGAGAUCAAUGUUGUUGUUGAGGAGGAGGUCGAGUUAGCUGGUAUUCGUGAUGCUGAACCAGGGGAGGUGUUACAGAACUGGACUUCCACGCCGAUCCUGAUGUCCCGAACUCUUUGGUAGAAAGGAGUUAUUUUAUGCACACUAAAAUCGGUGGUUUUCCGGAAGAUGCCCGAGACCCACCAUUUCUGCAUUUUUCUCAACUAUUCAAUUUUCGAAUUUCUGUUGUGAUGUUCAAAAAUGCAACAUGACCCCCAUGCCAUGGCCAAACUUUGCAUUGUUUUAAAUGAAAGCCUCUUUAUUUUUAACUUUAUUCAUUUAACUAUUUGUUAUACUUUACUUUUCUAAUUUUGUCUAUUUACGAUUUCAGUAACAUAAGUUACCGACCCGCCAAUCUCAUGUCAUGUCACGAUCUAAAUGAACAAAAUGAGACAAAUGACAACAAGGUUGACGAUUGUUAAGAAGAAAGUGGGGAACCAGAUUACAUCGCCGAGGAAUUUCGACAGUUCGAGAAUCAACAUAAACCAAACCUAGAGGAAACGGAAACAGUGAAUUUGGGAGAUUCGGAAUGUGUCAAAGAGGUUAAGAUCAACCUUUACCUAAAUGAGAUCCAGAAGGAAAGACUGGUUCAUUUGCUUGCCGAAUAUAGUGAUGUGUUUGUUUGGGAAGUCGGUGAUAUGCAAGGGUUGAGUACUGAUGUCGUAUCUCAUAAGCUACCGAUCAACCUAGGGUUCGAGCCGAUGAAGCAAAAAAACUCGAAAGCUAAAGCCUGAACUGAGUUAGAAGAUUAAGAAAGAAAUCACCAAGCAAAUAUAGUACCGAUUGGUGGAAGUAACACCAAUAUCCAACUUGGUUGGCCAACGUCGUUCCGGUCUCCAAGAAAGAUGGAAAAAUCAGGAUCUGUGUUGACUAUAGAGAUCUCAAAAAGGCUAGUCCGAAGGAUAAUUUUCCGUUGACGAAUAUUCAUAUUAUGAUUGACAACUAUGCCAAACAUGAGAUGCAGUCAUAUGUGGACUAUUACGCAGGUUAUCACCAAAUUUUGAUGAAUGAAGAAGACGCGGAAAAACGGCUUUCCUUACACCUUAGGGCAUAUAUCACCACAGGGUGAUGCCGUUCGGCCUCAAGAACGCCGAUGCCACCUACAUGAGAGCCAUGAUGACUAUUUUCCACGACAUAAUUCCUAAAGAGAUUGAUGUGUACGUGGAUGACGUCAUAAUCAAAUCCCGUGAGAGUUCGGAUCACUUGACACACCUGAGAAAAUUCUUUGAACGCUUGUGUCGUUAUAACUUGAAGUUAAAUCCCGCCAAGUGCUUUUUGGGAGUCUCAGUUGGGAUGUUUUUGGGAUUUAUAGUCAGCAGAAGGGGUAUUGAGCUUGACCCCUCCAAGAUUAAAGCAAUUCAAGAGUUACCUCCACCGAAAACGAGAAAAAAGGUGAUGAGUUUCUUAGGGAGGUUAAACUAUAUCAGCCGGUUUAUAGCACAAUCAACAGUGGUGUGUGAGCCUAUUUUCAAGUUGCUGAAGAAAGACGCCCGACUAAGUGGACUAAGGUACUUGUCCAACCCACUGGUUUUGGUUGCUCCACGAGAAGGGAGUCCUUUGUUGCUGUACUUUUCUGUUUCAGAUAGUGCCUUCGGAUGCGUACUUGGUCAACACGACAAUACAGGAAAGAAGGAAAAGUCUAUCUACUACAUAAGCAAGAAGUUUACUCCAUACGAGUCUCAUUACACUUUGCUGGAGAGAACAUGAUGUACUCUGACGUGGCUUGCCCAGAAAUUGAGACACUAUUUGUUAGUAUAUCUCAUUUCCAGAAUGGAUCCAUUGAAGUACAUUUUUCAGAAAGCGAUGCCACCAGGAAAUUAGCUAAAUGGAAAAUGUUGUUGAGUGAGUUUGAUAUCGUGUAUGUGACUCAAAAGACAAUAAAGGCACAAGCUUUGGUAGAUCAUCUUGCAGAAAAUCCUGUUGAUGAUGAAUACGAAUCAAUCAAGACUUAUUUUCACAAUGAAGAAGUGUCAUUUGUGGGUGAAGACAUUUCUAAAGCAUACCCAGGUUGGAUAUUAUUCUUUGACAGAGCGGCAAAUCAUCAAGGUAAAGGUAUCGGAGUAGUCUUAGUGUCAGAAUCUGGUCAACACUAUCCCAUGGCAGCUAAGCUCUGAUUUAAUUGCACAAACAACAUGGCCGAAUACGAAGCUUGUAUUCUUGGUUUGAAAAUGGCCAUCGGCAUGAAUGUUAACGAGUUAUUGGUCAUUGGAGACUCAGAUCUCUUGAUUCAUCAAGUUGAAGGUGAAUGGGUUGUGAAGAACCCGGAGAUUAUACCUUAUGUACAGUAUGUGCAAAAGUUGUGCAAAAGGUUUCGCAAAAUCGAGUUUAGACAUACUCCCAGAAUACAGAAUGAAUUGGUCGAUGAUCUUGCCACCAUCGCUUCGAUGAUCAAACAUCCGAAUACAAAUUAUAUUGAUCCGCUGGAUAUAGAGUUGAAGGAACAUCCAGUCCAUUAUUCACAUGUUGAAUCAGAACCAGACAGUUUACCUUGGUAUUUUGACAUAAAGAGGUACUUGGAGUCUGGGACUUAUUGUGAAGACGCUACGACCAAUCAGAAGAAGUCGAUACGCCGUAUGGUUCUCAAUUUCUUCCUAAGUGGAGAAGUCCUGUAUAAGAGAACUCUAGAUUUGGGUCUACUAAGAUGUGUGGAUGUUGAUGAAGCUGUGAGGCUUAUUGAACAGAUACAUGCCGGAAUUUGUGGUACACAUGUAAAUGGGCUCACUUUGGCAAGAAAGAUUCUACGAGCCGGGUAUUUCUGGAUGACUAUGGAGAAUGACUAUUGCGAAUUCGUGCAAAAAUGCCACGGAUGUCAAGUGCACGGUGAUUUGAUACGAGUGCCACCUCACGAGCUUAAUGCUAUGAGCUCACCUUGGCCAUUUGUAGCUUAGGGAAUGGAUGUCAUUGUUCCUAUAGAGCCAGCCGCUUCUAAUGGACACAGAUUUAUCUUGGUUACCAUUGAUUAUUUCACCAAGUGGGUGGAAGCAGUUUCUUACAAGUCGGUAACCAAGAAAGUGGUGGACAAUUUUGUUCGCAACAAUCUGAUAUGAAGAUUUGGAGUGCUAGAAUCCAUCAUUACUGAUAACGGUGCAAAUCUCAACAGUCAUUUGAUGAGAGAGAUAUGUGAGCAAUUUAAGAUUAUUCAUCGAAAUUCAACUGCUUAUCGCCCCCAAAUGAAUGGAGUUGUAGAGGCCGCCAACAAGAAUAUCAAAAAGAUUUUGAGGAAAAUGAUUGACAAACAUCGAGGUUGGCAUGGAAUGUUUCCAUAUGCUUUAAUGGGUUAUCGAACGACGGUCAGAACAUCGACUGGUGCUACUCCAUACUUGCUAGUAUAUGGAUCAGAAAUAGUUAUACCUGCUGAAGUUGAGAUACCGUCCUUGAGAAUCAUCCAAGAAGCUGAAGUGAGUAAAGCUAAAUGGGUUAGCAAACGGAUUUACCAACUAACUUUGAUUGAUGAGAAGAGAAUGGAUGCAGUCUGCCAUGGCCAGUUAUAUGGACAGAGAAUGACUCGUGCCUUUCACAAGAGAGUAAGAGCCAGAAAUUUUGAAGUUGGUCAGUUGAUUCUUAAGCGUAUUUUCCCUCAUCAAGAAGAGUACAAUGGAAAGUUCGCACCAAACUGGCAAGGUCCUUACAUGGUUCGAAAAGUAUUAUCUAGAGGUGCUUUGGUCCUAUCAGAGAUGGAUGGAAGUGUAUGGCCUAAACCUAUCAACUCAGAUGUCGUCAAGAGAUACUACGUGUGAAGCUUCAUUUUGCACUUCUGUUAUUUACUUGUAAUCAUUCUGUUUUGCUUGUAUUUGUUUUGCUUAAAUUCUUAUCCCUUUUGUAAUGAACUACGUCUGACCUGAAUUCUUGAGAAUGAGAUACGUAGGCGGCCUAUGUCGGCUUCGGUCACCCCCAUUUAUCCCCUUUAAUUAUUUUUUGUAUCUAAACUACGUUCUACCUGAAUUCUCAAGAAUGAGAUACGUAGGCGGCCUUUGUCGGCCUCGGUCGGUUUCUUUGUAAAUUUUAUUCUUGUUAACCUUUAAGGGGAACUACGUUUGACCUGAUUCCUGCCUCAACAGGAUUCGUAGGCGCCACAAGGGUUUGGUCAUAUCUCCCGUAAGAUUUCUAUUCCCCUUUACAAUAGAAACUGGGACAAAUUUUGAGAGGGACUCAAAAAUUUCCAGAAGAAGUUUCCUCUUCAGCAGGUCAAGCUAAAGAUAUUUCGAGAUCUACAACUGGGACAGAAUUUUUGAGAAGAUCUCAAAAAUUCCGCAAUCUGCUCAGCUACAAUGAAAAGAUAAGCAAGAUAGUAAACUGGUACAGAAAUUUUGAGAAUGGCCUCAAAAUUUCAUCAUGGGACUUACCUAUAAGUCCGUAAUGACUCUUAAGACUCACCGGCAAACGAUCAGAUAGACCUCUGAGUGUUAGGUUCAAAGAAGUUUGUUAAGCCUGAUAUCACAUGACUUGGCAGUGACCUUUUCAAGAUACUAUUUCUCUAAAUUUUAUUUCUCUUAAAUUUUCCCUUUUACGUUUCAUUUGUUUGGCAUAAAAAUUUUGUCUUAUCUAUCAAGAGUCGGGAAAUUGGAAAAAUCAAGAAAUCGACACAGAUCAGUACAUCUUUAUAAUUGAUAAUUUUUCUGUGGACGCAGGUUUAUAGCUUUGCUUUGAAAUUGGCAAAAUUCUUCCGACGAAUGAACAAGGAGAACUCCAAAGAGGAAAAAUUAUUCCAAAAUCAAUGACUUCUAUAGAAGCAAAAGGCAUUUUAUAUCACUUAUGGCGGAGACUUGGGAAUAUGAAUUAUUUAUUUCAGUCAAUUACCAACAAUAUGAAAUUUACAAAGAGCGUUUAGCCAGAUUCAAAAGCGAAUCAAACAGGAAUCUUAAGGAAGAGUUUACGAUUUCCGUGAAGGGCGCUAUUUGAGUCACAUUAUCAAGCAAGAUAGUCAUUUGUAAAUCAGGACAAUGCAUUACCCAAGAUUAGAUAGUUAUUUUAUUGUUAUUAUCGACCAAGGCGAUAUAUUAUUUGGAGGUCGUCUUGUCGUUAUCAUCAACAGAGACGAGAUGAAUAAUCAUGCAUUGCGGAAAAUCAUGCAUCACGAAAAAUCAUGCAUCGCGAAAAGUCAUGCAUCGCGGAAAAUCAUGCAUCGCGGAAAUCAUGCAUUGCGGAAAGUCAUGCAUCGCGGAAAAUAAUUAUGCGUCACGAGAAGAUUUCAUGCCUUGUCAAAUUUAUACAUCGCGAGAAGAUUUCAUACCUCUCUGAAAUUUAGACAUCGCGAGAAGACUUCAUACCUCGCUGGAAUUUAUGCAUCACGAGAAGAAUCCAUGCCUCGUUGAAAAUCAUGAAUCGCAAAAAUCAUGCAUCGCGGAAAAUCAUGCAUCGCGAGUCAAUAAUUAUGCGCCACGAGAAGAUUUCAUGCCUCGUCAAAUUUAUGCAUCACGAGAAGAUUUGAUACCUCGCUGGAAUUUAUGCAUCGCGAGAAGAUUUCUUACCUCGCCGAAAGUUAUGCAUUACGAAAAGAUUUCAUACCUCGCAGGAAUUUACGUACCCCGGGAAGAUGUUCAUGCCCCGCAAGAAGUCAUGUAUGGAUAAAGAAAUGGAAAUCGUGUAUCUCAAGAGGAAUAUUUAUCCAUCGGCCUCAACUACAUUUCUUAUUUUUGAUAAAAGCAAACAUCAAGAAAAGUAUCGAAGAUGGCGACAAAAAGAAAUAUCGAUAUCGCAUCAGCAUUUAUUUAUUUAUUUAUUUCGACAUCAAGUAUAGAGUACAUCGAAUAUUAUACUACAAAACACAAGUCAUAAGCUUUAUUUGAUGUACGUCAAACUGAUAGAGUUGACGUCUAAUAUUGAGGAGAACAAUGAAGUGUCGACAUGGUAAAAAUACACUGUCUCCCAUCCUAAUUGCAUUUUUAAGUUGACGAGUUUUAUUUCAGUCUUUGCCAAGAGCAUCCAAAAGGAUGAAUUCUCCAAAAACCACAAGUGCGGACGACAUCAAAAAGGAUGCAUCACAACGUGAAACUUUUCCUUAGCAGCAAACUGAGACACAGUCCGAAGAGGAAUGUCAAACUCUUAGGAUAUAAGCAGGGGAGCGACUUCCACCACAAUCGAACCACUCCCAUCCAAAGACAUGUGGGUUAUUUUUUAAUUUUGUCAGUUUCAGUUUCGCAUCCGGGAGUUCCGAUUUACCGGAAGCAAUUUUCAAAUCUGAGUGAUGAUACACCAAGAGUUUUGGAAAUGAUGUCCGUGUAAGUUCUUACCUAUGGAUGUGAAGAGUUCCACAUUCAUUGCUAAGAGGUUACAAGCCUCCUUUUCAUGCUCGUUUAAUUUGUCACUUGUCCAAAACCGAAGGUUAUCUAGCAUAAUAUAUUUCCUUUUCAACUGAUCGAGUCGAACUACACACAGCUUGAUUCCUGAAGCUUUAAGGAUAUGUAGGCGGAUUCAAUGUUGAAAACUCGGUUGUAUUCCAACAUUCGCUCUCCAAUUUUAUUCUAGAGCAUUUCGAUACCUUCAUAGUUCGGUAUUGAGGUAGCUUUUGAAUUCUUUCAAAGUCGUGCAUUAUAUCAAGCUUAUCGAACAACAAGUGGUCUGAAUUCUCAUAUAGCCUGAGAUAUGUAGGAAACCCGUUCAAGGGUUCGGCCAUAAUUCUUAAAUCCUUUGUCGAAUCCUUCCCUUAAAGAUGAAUGGGGUUGGUCAAAAUUGGCUUGGUCAAUUUCAUUUCCCUCGAAUUUCUUGUAUCAAUCCAAGUAAAAUGAGGGACAGUUGUUCACACCCAAUUUCGACCCUCCUCGGUAUAAAUUAGUUUUCGAGCUUCUUAAAUUUUCAAACAAUUUAAAAUAAUUAGUUUUAUAAAUCUUGUUAAAAAUAAUAAUAAUAUAUGAACUUUAUGUUAUUUUGAAUACUUUUGUCAUUUUUCUUAUAAUUUUAGAUAGCCUAUAUAUUUUACAUGAUUAUAUAUGUAGUUGGUAUAUUUUACGAUUUUUUCACAAAAUAUUUUAAAUUUUAGUAAGUAUUCUAUUUGACUAAUUUAGCUUAAAUUAUGGUUAUAUUUUGUAUCACUAUUUUUACAAUUAAAAUAAUUAUAUUACUAAGAUAAAGAAGCUCGUUGAUUAAUUAAUACAAAUUCAUUUUUUAUUUAAGGUUUAGCCAAAUUUAUUAUCCUAACUUAAUUUGUCUAUUAAUUAAAUUAAUCCCUCUUAAAAUUCCAAUUCAAUUUUGGGCCUUUUUGCAAAUGCCCUCUAAUUCCCUUUCCAACCUUUUUUUUUUAUGGAAAAUUUAGCUUACUAGUCAAAAAAAUUAACUUAUUUAGUGAUAAUACCCAUACUUUAAUAAUAUUAGUAAACAUGUCAAAAAGGUCAUUAUUUUAAAAAUAAAUAAUUAUUCUGAUAUUAUUAGUUUUCUCUCUCUCAUUAGUUACACUUUUUUUCUCUCUCUCACUCUCAUAUAUUACACAUUUUUCUAUAUUUAUGUAAUUGGAUAAAUAUUAAUGUCAUUUUAAUUUUUUUGUCUCUUUUCUUAAGCUUAUCAAUUACAUUUUCUAUUAUUCUCAUUUAAUUUCAUUGCAAGAUUUGAAGAUUAACAUUGAUUUGGGUAUUAUGUUUUUCAGAUUCUUUAUUUAUUUACAAACUGAUUUUAGUGUGUGUUUUUUUAUUUUUUUUGUUUUGUUGUUAUUCUUAAAACAUUUUUUAUGGUUUGAGACUACAUAAUUCUCUGUACAAUGGACGUUUCAAGAGAGUUACUAGAGGUAUUGGACAAAAUAAUCAAAGUUCUUCCGAUUUUCCAUAAUUUAAUUUUUUUUCACUCAAGAAUUAAACAACAAUGUAGAUUCCGCUUCUAAAUCUAAGGAGGAUAUACGAUGGGGAAAAAUUCUUGAAUCCAUUGAUAUGCAAAAUCCCACACAAAUUCAUAACCAUGAAGUUGAAGAAGAUUAAUUUGUUGGAGAAGAGGUUGUUGUUGGGUUUUUUUGCAUGUUCUGUGUCUUGCAUGUUUAGUUUAAUUUGUUUAGUAAUUUUUAAGAUUCAAAAAAAUUCAUAUUACAAUGCGUUUGAAAGUGUAUAUGGAAUUUUUAUUAUGUUAUAGUUAAUAUUUAUUUUUGUAUUUCAUAUAUUUUUGUUGUAUUUUGUGUUCUGUUUUUCUUUUUCUGUUAGUUAUAUCAAAUAUAACACAUUAUAUAAGUUUGAUUGUGUAUAUUUCAUAGUUUUAAUGUUUUUUGUAUUCAUAGAUUUGGAAGUGUAUAUUGAAUUUUGUUGUUGUUUUAGUCAGUAGGUAUUGUAUUUUGUAUCCAUAGAUUUGGAAUUGUAUUUCAUAUAUUUAAUUCAUUUUGUAUUCGGUUUUUUUUUUGUGAUAGUUAUGUCAAUGUAUAACAGUUAGUAUUUAUUUUUGUAUUUCAUAGUUUUAUUGUUUUUUGUAUUCAUAAAUUUGGAAGUAUAUAUUGAAUAUUGAUACUGUUUUAGUCAGUAUGUAUUUUUACAAUUAAUAGUUGUAUUCAUUAAAAAAUUAUGUUGCAUUGUUUCUGAAUUUGACAUUUUUUUCUAAUUUGUAUUUAUUCUAAAGGUAUGUCAACUAGUAAUGCAUUUUAUUUAAGAAUAAGUACACCAAAUAUUCAAUUAUUUCUUUUCAAUUUUAUAUUUCAUUCACUUUUUCAUCAUACUAAUUUUUUAUAUUUUAUAUAUUAUUAUACAAAAUUCUAAAUAAAAACUAGAAUAAAUAGAAAUACAAAUAAAAUACAUAUUUGAAAUGAAUACAUACAAGAUUUUUGAAAAAAAAUUAACUAUAUAGGGAAAAAAUAUAUGAAUACAUUCGGCAUAUCUAUUGGAAUGAAUACAACCUAAUAAAAAACUAUAAUAAAUACAAAUAGAAUAUAUUGUGGAAUGAAUAAAAUUUUAAAAACGUAAAAAUUCUGGAGAAAUUAAAGAACAAAGUUUAAAGUUUAUUUGAAAAUGUAACUAAUGAGAAAAUUAAGUGAUCCUUACCUUUUUUGAAAUAUUCUCUCCUUUGAUUUUCUCCCUUUUGUUAUUAAAUAAUUAUAUUCUUUAAAUAAAAACAAAUAAUAAAAACAUAAAUAAAAACAUAAAUGUGGACAUUUUUAUUAAAUAUUGAAAGUGUUGCUAAUGAGCCCUCUUAAAUGUCAAAAUAUUGACAUGUUGAAAAAUUUCACUUUUUUUAUUUCCCAGGUUCAAAUUUUUUAAUCAGCAGCCCACUUUAACCCAUUUUCCCUUUAAUUCAUUUAAAUGACCAGAUUUGGGCCUACUUCUUUUUCCAAUUCCCCUUUUAUUUUCCAGCCAGCUCAUUCCUCCUACCCGGCCCAUAAUCCCUAAAUCCCUAACCCAAUUCCCUUCUCCCCCUUUUUCCUUUCGACCCAUCCCCGACCCGAUUCCCCUUCUUCAUCUCCUACACGCAUUCCCCAGAAAAAACAGAACAUGUGCGUAAAAAGAAAAUCCCAGAAAUUUAGCAACCCAUUAGCCGUUUCUCGCGCUGUCUGGCCUUACCCCUCAAUCCUCGAGUCGUCCCCCUCCUCUGCAAGUCGUACGAGGGCGUUGGAGGACAGGCCCAGGUGGAUAAAAUCUCCUUUCUCCAUCGUCCUUUGCUUGAAAAUUCGAUGGUUGCGAUGGCUUGUUCUGUUAAAGGUUCGUACUCGUUUACCUGCCGUCCUUAUCCUUUGGGUGAAGAGAGGAUUUCGAAUUCAAAAGGAGACAUGAAAUCACGAAUUUGCCCCAAACCUUCUUUCGUUUUCCCCCCGCUCUCCACCUUUGAGAAAUGGCUAUAUAUACUACCAUUUCCUCACUGUUUGAGGGGUUGGUUUUUCUGGCUAUUAUCACUGUUACAAAAAUACAAACAAUCACAAAGAAUUGAAGAAAAUAAGGCACUAGUUCGGGGGUAGUUUACACACUAGAGGUUGAAGGCAACCUAUAGAAAUCGAGUUUGGAAGUGAAAGUUUAGGCCCCAAAAGUUGGAAGCGGCUUCAUUUCAGUCUAAAGUUCCAUCCCUUCCUCGUUCUAUUCUCAUUCCAUCACUGUUUCCAGAGUUCGUCGCAGUGGUCAGAUUUCUAUUGUAGUCUCCUUUACCAGCAAAGUCUCAGUCCCUGCUCGGAGAAAGGUAAUGCUUCCUUUUAUUUGCGUCUUGUUUCAGUGUUGAAUGCGAUGCAAUGAAUAUUGUUGUUUCCUCUGUUUCGUCACUGUUUUGGUUUACUCGUUUCGACUUCUAUGCUCUUCUUCGAAAGAUUGUUUGGUGUGAUUGAUUCAUUGUUGAUUGUGACGGGUAUGCUUCAACUUUGUUAAGUUCCAUUUGGGUCUGCUGGUAUGCAGUUCUUUGCUUCGAUUGUAUUGUGUUUAGCUUGAAUAUGUAAGUUCGAAAUGAGUUCUCGUAUUAUUUGUCGAAUAGUCUUUAUUUGCUUGUCUUGAGGAUGUUGUGGUGAAGGUUCAUCGCAGGUCAUUAUUUUGAAUCAAUAUUUGAACUCUCGUAAUGAAUCUGUUGGCUCAAAUUUGGUUCCAGCCAUGCUCAUUUGUCGUUUAACUAGAUUCUGUUGGCUACAUCUUCGAUUUUUGAUGUUUAGAGACUAAAGGAGUUUGAAGUAUCUCUUUAAAUUCAUGUGAAUUUAGUUGUUUUUGUUCUUUAUGAAUUCAAAUGAACAAGGUUUUUUUUUUGCUUUGCUUGAAGUAUUUCUUUCUUCCAUUUAAAUGCACCACUGUUUUAAAGUUCUUCAUCGGUUGGGAUAUACUUCUAAUCGUUUCUUUCUACGGUACUGCUGUAACUAAUUCAUAUUUACAAAUCAUGUUCUUUCUUUCCCAUCAAAUGAGCUGCAUGUUGGAAUCUCCAAACUGAUUUUGAACACUAGAGGUUUGUUAAGGAAAAGCAAUAAGCAUUGUAGUUAUAUCAUACAUGAUCGAAUCUGGAAAGAUAAAUGAGUCAUUGAGGACUAUUUAACAGGAGCAUAUAAAACCUUCAUGGACAGUGGCCUUUGUAGUUGACUCCCUUAAUCUGAAGUCCUACAGCGAGUUAAAUGAACUGUUUUCUUGCCUAGUUUGAUUGAUAGUUGGAUUGUGCGUGAUCAAAAUUCGUCUCUGUCUUGUGUAGCUGUUUCCUUUCAUAUUUUGCAGCUCACUUCCUUCAUUCUUAAUGGUUCCAUUUCUGCAUUUUUGAUUUUGAAGUAUUGUUUUUGAAAUUUCGAGUAAACUAUAUGUUGUUGCUUUCAUACAUUCAAGCAUGCAUAGCUGAAGUUUGUAGGAUUUUGUUUAAGUUAUGUCUUGCUCCGUCUCCGACUUGCUUUCUAGUUGUGUUUGUUUGAUGUCAAUUGCAUGGAUUAUCAUUAUUAUUUUGUUUACGGGUGACAUUAAUGUUAUUAUGUGAUAUUGAAUUCUACCCUCCUAAUUCCUUUUCUUUUGUCUUGUUUGUUUGCAUGUAAAACUAUUCUCGAGUCCUCAUGGACCUCACUCUAAUUCCUUGCACCUUCUCGUUGAGCCAUAAAGGCUUAAAACACCCUUCCCGAGUCAGUCAACCUCCUGAAAGGAUGUACAGGUCGGAAAAACCAGCAGAGGCUGCUAGAGAAUUACAGUUUGCAGGUGUUGAAGAAAGUUGUAUACCAUCUAUAUACACAUGGUAUACCCUGAUAUACAGUUUGAAAGGCGUACAGGAAGCAAAGAUCAAAAUCUGGGUUGAUAGAAGUCCAGAUACACUGCUGAAAAGGAGCUUUCAACUUUCGAAAGUUGAAAAACAGGAUGAUAUACAUCCUGCAUACACUGAUAUACAGAAAUGUUAUACCUUAAAUAGGUCUAAAAAAAUAUGAAUGGCAGAUUAACGUUCAGGGACGCCAAUUUGAGAUAAAAUACAGGAAUAGGCAAUGAAUACGUGCAUAGGAUACAGACCGUAUACAUUGGUAUACAUCUUUUGGGUGACGAUAUACAAUUGUUAAACAGGUUUAAAAAUGGUACAGGUACAAAUACGCAGAAAUAAUUUGGAAAAUACAGGGAAAAUAACGGAAACUGUGUUCGAACAAUGCAGGGCUCAAAAGUCCCAAAAAAUAGAUUGAAUAUACACCGUAUACAGUAGUAUACAUCUUGUGUAUACUUCUUAUUUCUUACAGGAAACGGGCCAGGGCCCUUUUCAGCAAAAGUUUUUAAUAGGCCCAAAGAUCAAUUUGUUUUGCAGGAUUUGAAUUGUUGAAAAGGGCCCAAAUUCAAAUAGUUCAAUAUAGGACAGGUGGGCCAAAGCCCAACUUAAUGAUUUUGGGUAUCUAGCCCAAAGUCAAAUAUUAUUUUUCUUCCUUAUUUAUUAUUUGUUUGAAUUAAUUAAUAUUUUGGUAGAAUUUUAAUAAUCUCCUAAAGCGCAGUCAUUUUUUAUUAUUUUAAAUUUUACUAUUUUAUUUGUUUGCUUUUAUCACCAUUUAGUUUUCCUUAAGUUAAUUUCCUUUAGAUGUUCUCCUUUAGAAAUAAAUAAAAAAAUGGAAUAAAAUAUGUUAAAAUGAAUUUUCUCUUUACUUAGUUAAAAAAAAUUAUUUUAAAAGUCAUUUAGUCAAAUCGCCGGUCAACCGCAAGUUAGCUGGCAUCCCGAGGGCCUAACACCUUCUCGGGAUGUACAUUGAACUUCGAACCUUUUUCAAUUGAUUUUAUCUGUUUUGAAUCUUUGAAAAUUUUAAAUUUUUCUUGAUUUUAUCAAAAAUUGAGUAGCGACUCCUUAAUUUGGAAAGUCAAUUUUUCUUAAAUAAUAAGAUUAAUUGAUUUUACGGAACCGAGUCAUCUGCACACCAUUUUAAAACAAAUAGUAGUAUAUUUUUAAAAUAAAACAACCAUGAUUUAGAUAAUUAAUAUCUAAGAUAUUUGCUUCAAUUUUAGUAAAUUUUCAAUCAUUCUUGCAUUCAAUAGCAUUCUAAAGAUAAAAUUUCCUUUUUCACAUUUAGUUUCAAUUCUAGAUGUUGGUACUUGUAUUAUUGUUGUCAAUUGUAAUUAUAAAUAAUUGUAAUUAAAAAAUUAUAUUUAGUUGUAAAAGAAAUUUGUAGCAAAAAAUUUAAUUAUUUGUUAUAAAUUUUAAGUUGUCGUUAUUGAAAAUCUUACAUAUUUUAUGACAAUUUUUUUGCUAUCACUAAAUCACAUAUUGAUUAGAGACGAUAAAAUAUUUAUCAACCAAUUAUUUAUAUUAUUAGUGACGAAAAUAAAUGUCUUAACUAAAUCUAAAUUUUUAUUGCUAAAACUUAAUAUUUAACUACGAGGUUUAAUUUGUUGAUAUUGUAACAACAUAUUUUUGAAAGAAAUUUUUUUGAGUCCAAAAAUCAAUAAAUUUAAGGCAAAUUUUAUCAUGAAUCAUAUACAUUAUUGGUUAUCAUGAAUCAUAUACAUUAUUGGUAAGGAAAUAAUGAUUCACUGGUAACUUUAAAUUCGUUACUAACACUACUUAGCAAAUGAUGCGAGUUAAUUUUUUGUGAAAACUUUAAUGGACAAAAUUUUACAAAUUUUUAUGUUUCGUUACCAAAAUUAUGUGUCUCAUAUAUUUAAGCACGAAAAAUAAAUAUUGUCAUUAAAAAUAAAUAAUUAGUGAAGAAUUUAAUGAUGUAUCUAACAGUUUUAUAGUUAUAUAUCAUAUUUGUUGUAGUGUGUAUCCAUGAUUGUGGAGUGAUAGAAGGUUGGCCAAUCAACAUUAGUAAUGUAUUCUACAAUUGAUUACCAUAGAAACACACAUCAACUAAGUGUAUUUGCAAUAAAAUUUAAAGUGACAGAAAAUAAACUGCAAUCACAAAUAAAAUAAGAAGAAACAUGAUUUUAUUCAUUAAGAUUGCGGGUACAAUUCUGUUCCUCCCUUUAUUCUCCUCUCGUAAGAUUUAUCCAUUAUUCGAGGGUCGUUAGUAGCGUAUUUCUCGAACUGAGAUGAUUUAGAUUUGACCUCUAUAUGAAUAUUCCAUCAAUUUGGGGAAUAUUCAAGAUUUUGAUCUUUUAAUGGAAUUUUCGAGGUACCUUUUAAGAGAAUUUAAUACCCUUUAUAUAUGCAUAAAUUAGGGUUUAAUGUUGAGUAGCCUUCAAGUAUUCUAAUUUUAAAAACUGAAUACACCUUCUAGAAUCUCAAUUCAAAUUAAACACGUCUUAUAGAGUAUUACAAAAUUUCAAUGUUCCUAUAUUCAUAAAAAUAUUUGCACUAACACACAAGUAGAAUCUACAUUCAUACAGGAGAUAACACAUUUUCCAUUUAUUCAGUAUCUUAGCAAUCAACAUAUUUCCAUGAAUGCAUAAACACAAAGUAAAUGUAUAUUUUGGUCAAUGCUGGUUCUGAAAUAUCAACCCCUAACAUCUAACUGUUGCUAAGAUAUCUAAAUAAUUGUAGAUAAAUACUCACGUCGUGGUUUCAUAUUUCUUGAGUAAAGAGAUUUCACGUAAAAUUAUUGUGUUUGAUUUACUUUGAGUUAUUAUUUAUUUUUCAUAUUAUUAUUUCAUUGAGUGACCUGAUCCAGUUAUCACUGGUGAACUCAUAAUACAUUCUAACAUAAUCACUUUGCCCAUGAAAGUUGAAAGAGCUUCAAAAAAGAUCCUAAUAGAAUAGUUAGUAUUUUUUAAAAUAAAGAUAAAAUAUUUUAAAAAGUAACUUGUAUAUUUUACUUAACGUGACAAAUAUUUUGUAGAGCAACUUGCACAUAUAACAAACACAAAACUUAUGUUUGUUUGCUAUAGCAAAGUUUGCAUAAUUGCACUCCAUAGCAAACACAAAUAUGUAUAAUUCGCUAUACAUAUAUAAAGAACCAAUUCUAUAAUUCGCUAUACAUAUACCAAAGAAAGAAGUUGAAUACAAAUCAAUUGUAUAAUUUGUGUAUGUAUAAAAUUAGAAAGAGAGAAAAGCAAAAGAAAAUUGCGCAGGGAAAUUUUAAUAUUAUAUAAUUAUAAGUGUAUAGAACGAAAAUAUACGUAUUUGUAUGUGUAUAUACAAUUUUCUCUCGCUUUAUACAAACAGAAACACAAUUUAUACAUUUUGUUUCUAUUUGUAUAAGCGAUAGAGACGAGGGUGGCGAGCGAGAGAGGGAGUGUGGCGAGUGAGAGUUUGAGGGAGAGAGGUGACUGGCAAACAGUUCGCUACACGACACAAUUAAAUCAAAGUGUGGUUAUUAACAUUUAAUUUGAUUUGUUAAUUUGUCAUUAUAUAUAUAAUGUUGAUGAUGAUUUAAUUGUUACUUUAAUUUUUAAAUUUUACAAAAUACAGAUGGAUUGAAUCUAUAAACUUAUUUGUUUAGUUUUUUUUUUUUAAAAAAAAUACAAAUUUCUUAAAACAUAAUUAGUAAGUACUUGUAAUUUUGGGUUUAACAAAUUAUUUGUAAAUCAUAUAAGAUUUUUAUAAUCAUGCCAAGUGUGGAGAAAUUUACUACGGCAAAGACAUUUUACAUAUCAAUUUACAAGGAGUAAUUGACUAUAAUAAACACCUUUUUAUUUUCUACACUUACAAGUCACAACAAAAAUAAUAUAUGUAUUAGUUUUGUGUAUGAACAAUACCUUGCUUGCUACAAUUUUUAUGCUAUGUAUAGCUUGCAUUAGUUAAACAAUAUUGUGUAUAAAGGUGUGUAUUACUAAGGGGUCAUUUGGUAAAGUGUAUAAGAAUAAUAGUAAAUAGGGUAAAUUAAUAAUGUUUGCAUUAGUAAUGCUUGAAUUAGUUAUGUUUGCAUUAAAUUUAUAUAGGAGCGCAAGGAACUCCUUAUAAGGUUCUAGAAAAAACUUCCAACAGACACUCCACUCAGAGAAGCAGAGCUCAGACUCAGACUCAAAGCCCUACGGAAAGAGAAGAACUCUCUUGUGAUACAUACGUAAAUUAUUUUAAUACAUGGCUUAGUAUGCAUUAAAACAACAUGUAUUGCAUAAAAAUUAUAUACAAAGAUACUCUCGACAAUUAGUGAAAAAGAUGUAAAAAAUAGUAGAGGGACAAUUGAGUCUUUAACCAUGUUAAUGCAUUCAUUUAAACCAUCUCAUUACUAAUUGACAUAAGUCAUCUGUAGACCCUUAAAGUUGUUCGCAUAGUUCAUUUAGACACCUCAAUUUAAUAGUAUACCUAUUGAGCAUCUUUACUGUUCAAACAUAUACCUAUUAAAUACUUUUCGGUGACAUGACAUCAUGAGUGUAUUAUAGGUCUAAGGCAGCGCGUGAAGCCAGAAACUUAUUUUGGCAGACCAAUCAAAAUGGAGAUGUCAACAUUAGAAAAAAAUUAACUUUUUUUUUUCUAUCAGAAAAAUUUAUAACUUAAACAUAUAAAAGAGAAAUUAAAAAAUCUCUGGCAUCAUCUUCCCCAAUUUGUCUUCCCUUCUCAAUUCAAUAUUUUCAUUAGACAAAUUCCGUUGCCACCAUCCCUUGACAUACCUCUUUCCCGUCUAAUCCUUCAUUCUUUUUUUUUGACUAAAUAUUAGGAAUAUUUACAUUAGUUUUUUACCCUAAGCAAUAAAUUAAAUAUUUGUAUAGAGCAUUACAUGCAUGCAAAUGACAUUUCUAUCUAUCAAUCUAUGUAUAGGUUGUCACUAUGUAAAAGUUUCAGUAAAAAUAACAGCAACAUAACGAUAUAGUGAUAUUAAUCGCAAAUACAGCUAGAUACAAUAAAUUUAAUACUCAUUUCAUUCAUUUUUAGUUGUUAUUUAUUCCUAAAAUAUAUUUUCAUUUUACUUGAUAUCAUUUUGAACAUAUCAAGGAAAUACAAUUAUCUUUUUUCAUAUUUUUAUCCUUAUUAUUAAAUACAAUUAAUACUACAUAUCAAUUAAGAGGGAUUUAUAGUGUAAUAAACAUACUUAUACCAAUAAUUAUUUUCGUAAUAAGUGUGUUAAAUUAAACAAUAACAAAUAAAAAUAAACGGACAAAGUAUUAUUUGACUAGUAGUAAUCAACCCAUUAAUAUAAAAGAUUUAUACAAUUAAAAAUCCUUUUUUGGUUGUUUUUUUCCUUUAAAUGUUCUUCUCUUCUUGUUUUUUUCAUGGGACCAACAUUUCUAUCUAAACGAUUGAGAUAUAUACCAACUGAUGAAAAAGAUAUAUGUUUCCAAAAUAGGAAAAUGAAUUGAUAUAUAGCUUUAUUGGAGUCCCAUUGUUUUAAAGUCAGCAUUAUGAAAUUGUUUUUGUAAAUGUAUAAUAAUAAUUUAAACAUAUUACAUUAGUUUUACUUGUUAUAUUAUCUAUGUAGAUUUAGAUUCCAAACAAAUUAAAGAUAAGUUUUUACCCAAUUAAUUUCUUUAAUGGAAUCCACUACAAUCAAUGGCUUCAAUGUCUUUAUAUUUGUUAAUUAAAACAUAUAGUCAACAAAUCUAAUGAUAAAAUUAACAAGUAUUUUCUUCUUAUAGUGACAUAUAUUUUUUUAAAAAUAUAUAUCUAUUGUUCUUCAUGCAUCAUAUAACAAUUUUAUUUAUCUAUAAUUUUUAUAAAGAUGGAAGUGGUUUUGCUAAUUUAUAAAACUAUUCUUCAGAACCCUUUUUAAGGAAGAUUUUAAUCCAUAUAUUUUGAGAAAUACUUAAUUUUUUUAAAAUAAUAUUUUUUUUAAAAAAAUGACUUUUCUUAUAAAAGUAGAAAAAAUAAGUUUCAUAAAUACACGCUUCAAGUUUUUUGUCUCCUCCUUACUCGUCCACCUUUUACCCUGAAUCCCCACUCCUUAUCUCAUAGUGUUUUGCUAUGCAUAAACACUUUUGCGAUAUUAUUUUAUUGCAUACUUAUCAGAUAUUAUAAGAGUGAUAGAACACUCUUUACGGAUAAAAAUACAUAAAUCUCGUAACAAAUGCAUACAUUUGUAUUCAAACUAUUAUCAACUGAAAGUUUCUUCAAAUAUAUAUUUAUAUGAUAACAUAUUUAGUGUUAACAGUUGAAUCAAUUUCUAGAAAGGUAUUUUCAAUUAAGAGUAAUAAUGAUCGAUUUCUUGUCUUUCGAAAAAAAAAAACCAGAAGGGAAUCAAUGCUUUCUAAUUUAAAAAGUGUGAAUAUUGAGUUUUAUGAAUUUGAUUUUAUUUUACAUUAUGACAAAAAAAUGUGUGAUCAUUUGGUAAUGGCCAUUGCUAUUGCUCAAAGUUGUUCAACAUUGAAAUAAAAUAAUUACAAUAAUAAUUUUAAUAUAACUUGCUAAAAUAUUCAAGAUAGUAAUUGAAAAUGGUUACAUUAAAACUAAUACAAUUUCUUACAUAUUUUUCAAUGCAAUUAACCUCUAAAAAAUUGAAAAAUUUAAAUCAUUAUCUAUUAAAUUAAUACUACCUUAAUUAGAAAAUAAAUUUAUUUAAAUUUUAUUUUUAGUAUUAAACUUAAUUGAAAAAAGAAAAAUAUUUUAAAAAUUCAUGCGGAGUAAAGCGGGUUGAAAUGGCAAAGAUUGUUGUGUGGACGGAGUAGGGUACGUUAAACAUUUGUGCGGGUUAAGCUCAAUCCACCCCAUACCUACCCAUCGCAAAUAACAUUUGCAAUCAUUUUUCAUCACAAAUAUGUAUAUUUUUUUAACCAAAAUUUGAUAUCUAUAUAGUAUGUAAGUUUUUUAGGAAAAGGAUAUUGCUUGACACCCCUUGGAGAAAGGUAGCUCUACCCCUGCGAAAUAUGAUAAACAACAUAUAAUAAGAACUAUAAGGGUACUACGACAUGCACUAAUUAAUAAUAAGCUUAUACAUUCACAAAGCAAGAUAACAUUAUACCCCUACUAACAUUCUAACCUAAUACACGACACUUCUUCCUAUCUAUGUUCUUGCUAAUAUUGACUUCAAGUUGACCCUAAUUUUCCAAGGUAGAUAGAAUUUCUAAAUUUAUAUUUCAAUUAGAGAAAAAGAAGCUAGAAGAAUGAGUUAUCAAUAAGUUAUUUAUAUGUAUAGUUUGUUUGUUUUUUUUUUAAAAAAAUAAUAUAUAAUACACAAUUUCAGUCAAAGCUAAUGAUAUUGUCAACCAGUAAGCAGAAUUAUAACUCCGUCCUAAUACAAUAAUGCACAAAGGUUUUUUGUGUGUACAUAUGUUACACAAUGUCCAAAUUUUAAAUAACAUAUUCAUGGGACAAUAAAUAAAACAAGAAAAAAAUGUUAAAUCUACUUAGAUAUAGAAUAAGAUGGAUGUGACUCAAUGACUAAAAUUGGACUAUAGUCAAAUUAAAUUGAAAUAAUUUGCAGUCACAGGUUUGAACACGUGGUAUGGAGAAGCCUCAAUAAGUUCGAUUUGCCAUUUCAAGAGAUGCAUAUACACAAUCCAAUCUCCAUUUCCUUUAGGGCUUAGCAUUGGCAUCACAUAUCCCGCUUUUCCGGCCCAUGGAAAAUGGUAAGCCCAGAACGCUGAUUCACCCCAUUCGAAAUUAAUCUUUUUCACAGGUAAAUGUUGCCCCGAUGACACUACCACCGCGGGUCCAUCACCAUUCAUUGCAUAUAUUUUUGCCAUGGAUGGUUCAGGACGAUGAGCCUCAACCCAGUCUAUCAAUCCAAGAAAAUGCUCUUGUAUUUUCGCGAUAUCAACAAAUUCAUGGAUUACAUUUGCCACCCAAUUAGCGAUUUUUCUUUUACCUCCUCAACUUUUUUCUCUCCAAAUGGGAUGGAGAGAACAUUACCAAAAUACCCUUUUAGCGACUUAUCCACAUUAUUUAUGAUCAAUCGAGUCCGACCAUCGACCACAAUACCAAACCUAAAAUUGUUGAAACCCAAGUUUCUUUAUUAAUUCCACAUGCAAUAGUUAUCCACAGGAAAGCGCUGAAUGAUUCAAGUUUAGACCUCUGGGACGUGCCUUUUUGGUCAUCAUGAUAAUUGGCUAGUGACUGAAGGUGCUCAAUUUUGUCACCGGUGACAUAGUAAAUUCUACUAAUGACUUGAUCAUUAGGGUUAAGGAUUUCGGAUUUCAUAGGAGGUAGGGUUGAUAGUGGUACAUAUAAGUCAUCGAUCGAGUCAUCAUAGUAACCAGGAUGUCGAGGAAAAAGGGAUGAUCGUCGAAACGAUGGGAGCUGAGAGAGUGGCUUGGAUUGAGCUAAUUCAGACUAUGACACAAGAAACAAGUUGGCUGAGUAUGCAUCAGCAACUCUAUGAUCAAAUGUGCAACCCACAAUUAUUCCUCCAUCUUUGGUUGUAUACAAGUAGGUUAUGGGGUUGUCUAUUUUUAUAUUGCUCUAGCAGAAGAGUUAUACCUCCUUAAUCUUAAUUUAUGUGUCCUAUAUAUUUCUAUUUUAGUCUGUUUAAAAAAUAUAUCGUCUUUUAUAUAUUUAAUAUCACAAAUUUGAAAAACUUAAUUUGUUUUUUUAAAACUUUGUUAUUAUUUUCUCAAACAAUCAAGACAGAGUAUUUUUUGUUGAAAGCAUGAUUAGUCAAGCAAAUAAAUAACCGAACACAUAAAUAAGUCCUUUAAUUUGGCUUUUUUUACAUUUAAGUACUUUCCAUCUUUGGUUGUAUACAAGUAGACGAUACUUUAACUUGUAUAAAAUUGAGCAAGUAGACAUGUGAGUCCUAUGUGGCAUAAUAUGCACACGACACCAUGUAGGACGAAAAAUUGUCAUGUACGAUGCCAAAUAGGACACGUGUCUAUUCGUUUAGCUUUAUACAAGUUUAAGUGUCUAUUUAUGCAUAUCCAAAUUAAAGGACAUAUUUAUGUAUUAUGCUAAUAAAAUAUGUUUAAUAUAUACUCCUUUCGCACAUUUUUAUUUGUCCUCUACUUAAAAACAAAAAUUACUUUUACUUGUCACUUUUAACAUAUAAAAUGCCUUAUUUUCUUCCUAUUUUACUCUCAGCAUCAAAUCAUAUCUCAUACGGAUGACUCACCCAAUUAAUAUGGAUUAAUGUUGAUUAUUGUUUAUUAGGGUAUACAAAGUCCAAACUGGACAAGUGAAAUUAACCGGGGAGUAACAACUUAGCUUAUAUAAUUCGAUGAUGAAGAUAGUCACACACUUUAAGUGGUAUUAAAGUUGAUAGAAGUAUUAUACGAAUUCGAAUCACAACAUCACUAUUAAAAUUUUUUUUGUGUUUGCCUCUUGAAGAGAAUCAAAAUCCUUAUAUGAAGUGGUAAGUUCAUGAUUUGACGUUUAUGGAUGUAAGAUUUUAGUAGUUUGAAGUAACUAUAUUCUAACUUAAUAAUUUAUACACUAAACCCAUCUUUCGAGGCAAAUACAAGAUUUAAAUUAAACUAGACAGUUACUUAGUUUUGUCAAAUCCAUAACCCGAAUCGUACAUCUACCUUUAUGCUUGUCAAGGGAGUUUUAAAAUCACAUUGGUCACACACCUCAACGAUUAAUAAUAUUUUCAAAUCAUGUUUCGAAAAAGUCUCGGAUAUAUCAUGAAUAACUACCCUCUUCAGCACCUCACACAAAUAGAAUUAAGGUCUGCGUAUUACACCUUAUUUUUUUCAUAUAAGAUUAAAUUGAUUACACAUUGUUAUCAAUGUAUUUAUAUGUUGGGAUAUUCACUAAGUCACAUGCAUGGAAUAAAUAGGGAGAAAUUGUUUACACAUAAUUAUUAAUACCUGAAUAGCAAGAACACCAUGCUUCUUUUUAGGAACAAAUUUUCCCUCAAUGCUUUCAUCUGGAUUAUAAAAAUUAAUCUCUUUAAGCUCAACAUCAUUAAAAGCUUCAAUAAAAGAAACACUACCAUUAUUGCAAAGAAUCUCCGGUUCUCCGGGUGAAUUUUCAACUAUAUCUCCAGAAAAUGCAUAGUAAGCAACUAAUGUUUCAGCCAAAGAUGUUUUGUGUAUUUUAACGAUUGAGUUAAAUUCUAAAUUUAUAUUAAUUUUCUCCGAAACAAUAAUGGAAUUUAGAUAUCAGAACAUAACUCCGACCUCCAAUGGAGGUAAGAGCAAACCAAGAUUAGAUAAUGGUAGCCAAUGUUCUUGCAUUGGCAACACUGCUGCCACUACUUCACUCUUGUUCACUUUCACAUUGAAGUUUUUCUUUGAAUUCAUCUCUUUUGGGAGGGGUGUGUGUGUGGAGAAAAUAAGAAGUGUAAAAGGUUAUCGAUAUAUU
rnacentral:lncRNA from 1 species